rnacentral:lncRNA from 1 species
CAUAGGCAGAAAAUCAUGCGAAAGGCCUGAUAUAUAACAAGAGCGAAUUCUUGGUGCGAGUACCAGUCCAGCAUCCAUACUCAAUUCUUUGAAAGGCCCUUCAAUUUACCUGGAUUUCUCCAAUGAACAAUCAACUUGUCUCUUCUUUUUCCUUCAGCAGUCCUCCUUCGUGGGAGUAUGAUGUCUUUUUGAGCUUCAGAGGAGAGGAUACACGAACCAAUUUUACAGAUCACUUUUACAAGGCGUUGGAGGACAAGAGAAUCACCACGUUCAUUGAUCAUCAACUUAAAAGAGGAGAAGAAAUAUCUCAGGCUCUUCUCGAAGCAAUUGAUGAGUCGAGAAUUUCGAUUAUUGUAUUCUCUAAAAACUAUGCAUCUUCAAGAUGGUGCUUGGAAGAGCUCGAACGUAUCCUUGAAUGUAGAAAGUCAAUGAAGCAAAUAGUUUUGCCAAUUUUUUACAAAGUGGAUCCGUCCCAUGUACGAAAGCAAAUGAGUAGUUUUGGUGACGCGUUUACAAAACUCAAGUGCAAAUUCGAAGACAACAAGGAGAAGAUCCUCACAUGGAGUUGUGCUCUUACAGAUGCAGCCAAUUUGUCAGGAUAUACUUUCAAAGAGGGAGAGUACGUAUAUUUCUUCCCCUUAUACUGCCCUUAAUCUGAAAAGAUGACUUUACCUGAAAUUCAAUUUUCUUUACAUAAAACUCAACCUAGUUUUUGUGCUUGACUAAUUAAGCUUAACAAGUUAGAUUUUAUAUCUUUUGGUUUCCUAAAACACACCUAAUAACAAUUUGAUUCUCUUGCAUAUUUAUAUCCUCUUAUUGUGUUAAACCUAUUGCAAGUUUAACUGGUCAUUACUAAUUGCGUUAAAUUUCGAAUUGGCUGGAUUAAUUACCCGAGUGUACCCAUUUUUUGUUGUUCAAAUUUUAAAUUUAUUAAUAUAUUUUGGUUUCCUAAUUUGCCUUUUUAUUCAAAAUGGUCCCUGAGAUUUGCAUCAUCUAUAAGUUUGGUCCCAGAGAUUUAAAAUCAAUAGAAGUAGAGUAGUCAUUGAGAUUGUCCACCAUCUAUGAUUUUGGUCCUUCCGCUGAAGCUUUUGGCCGGAAGUUUGGGCAAUUUUCAAAGCUUCGUAACUCAAUCGUUUCUUAACCAAAUUCAACCCGUAAUAUAUCAAAAUGAAGAUAGGAAAGUAUAUAAUAAUAUUAUAUCAUUUGGAAGCCCAAUGGUUGUCGGAGAUGGUCGGAAAACAGCCUCCAAAUUGACUGGUCAGAUGAAAAAUUGGAAAACUCGUCGGAAACUGGGUAAACUUUAAACAUUCAUAACUUCUUCAAUACUCAACGAAAUUAAGUGAUUAAAAAACAAAACUCAUACUUCUCGACGAGAAGAAGAGAAUGGUACCUUUUUCAACGGCUAAAUCGCCGUGGUUUUGCCGGAAAAUGGCUCGAAAGUUUCUGACUUGUUUUUCAACAGCCACUUUCAAGCCGUUUUCCGGCCAAACCAUGGCGCGUUAGCCGUUGAAAAAGGUACCAUUAUCUUCUUCUCGUUGUGAAGUAUGAUUUUAGUUUUUGCAAUUGAUUUCCUUGAGUAUUGAAGAAGUUAUGAACGUUUAAAGUUUACCUAGUUUUCGGCGAGUUUUCGGCAAAUUUUCCAAUUUUCCCUCGGAUCAGUCAACUUUGAGGCUAUUUUCUGACCAUCUCUGGCAAUCAUUGGGUUUCCAAUUCGAUAUAAUCUUAUUCUACACUUUACUUUCUUCAUUUUGAUAUAUUAUUGGUCGAAUUUGGUUAAGAAACGAUUGAUUUACAAAGUUUUGAAAAUUGCCUAAACUUCUGGCCAAAAGCUUCAGCAGAAGGACCAAAGUCAUGGAUGGUGGACAAUCUCAGGGACUACUUCUAUUGAUUUUAAAUCUUAAGGACCAAACUUAUGGAUGAUGCGAAUCUCAAGGACCAUUUUGAAUAAAAAGUCUUCCUAAUUUUGUUUGAAAAAUCAAUUUACCUAUGGUGUUGUUUUAUAAUUUACCGAUUACUAAUGAUGUUUGGUAAAUUAGUAUGUUUAGGAAAGAAAUGAUUCAUAUCCAUACAAAACAUCUUUUUUUCAUCCGAACAACAAAAUAACAUUUAAAUGCAAAAAAAAAAAAAUGUCUGUCUUAAUAUUUUUUUUAACAAAAGGAAAAAAAAGAGUCAAUGUCCUAAGUAUGGAAAGAUGUUAGGAUUUUACACAGUAAUAAACGGCAAUGUCAAAUUGUGAAUAAUGGCAUAGGGGUAAAUCAUUUUCAUUAAUGGGUCAAUUAUUAUCUUACAUGAUUCUGUAUUUAGUUGCAAGCGGCACAUGCUUGACUGCAGCAGUGAUUAUCCAUACCUCUGUUUUUUUCAAUUUUUUUUUCUUUUUAUUCUCUUCUUCUUUUUACAUUUUUUUUUUCCUUUUUCAAAGAAAUAUAGCAGAAAAAGUUGAUUGGCUAAAUGUGUCAAAUUUUUAUAUAAACUGGUAGGUAUGAAGCUACAUUUAUCGGUCAGAUCGUGAACGAGAUCCUAAUCCGUGUACUACAACGCCCGCAUUUGAAUGUAGCCAAAUACCAAGUUGGAAUGGAGUCUUGUGUAGAAAAGGUGAAAGAGCUUUUAGAUGGUGGAAAUGAUCCGUGUGUGGUUGGGAUUUGGGGGGCAUCUGGAAUCGGCAAGACAGAAGUUGCAAAAACUGUUUAUAAUGCAAUUGCUUAUAAGUUUGAAGGUCGUUGUUUCCUGGCAGAUGUUCGAGAAAAGUCAAUGCAAUACGAAGGCCUACUCCAACUACAAAACACUCUUCUAAGUGAGAUUGGUGGUUCAGAGUGGAAAGCUGUCAAUACUCAUAGAGAAACAUCCUUAUAGAGAAACUGUUGAGGCGAAAGAAGAUUCUCUUAAUUCUUGAUGAUGUGGAUGAACUGGAGCAUUUAAACAACUUGGUUCAAGUUGAAUGGCUCGGUGAGGGUAGCACAAUGAUCAUAACCACGAAAGAUAUUGGAUUGUUGAAAUCUUAUGACGUUGAGUUGAUAUACAAGGUCCAAAAGUUAAAAGACGACAAGGCUCUUGAGCUUUUAAGUUGGAAUGCCUUCAGAAAAAAAGAACCUUCAGAUGAUUAUUUGGGACUCGCACGACGUGCAAUAGCAUAUGCUCAAGGCCAUCCGUUAGCACUUAAUCUUAUAGGUUCUUAUCUACAUAAUAAAAGUAUAGAUCGUUGGCAAGCUGUAAUGGAUAGUUACGAUUCUUACGAUAGAGAACCUUAUGGAGGAAUUCAAAAAAUACUUCGAAAAAGUUAUGAUACCUUGGAUUAUGUCAUGCAACAAGUUUUUUUAGACAUUGCAUGCUUCUUCAAGGGCGAAGAUAAAGAUUACGUGUUACAAAUAUUAAGAAGUUCGAAGCUCAGUGUACCUCAAGAUUGUAUUGAUGUACUCGUUGAGAAAGCCAUCAUAACUAUUGAAUAUAAUAGAAUUUUGAUGCAUGACUUGCUAGAAAAAAUGGGUAAGCGUAUAGUUCGUGAAGAAUCGCCCACUGAACCAGGCGAGCGGAGCAGAUUGUGGCAUCCUGAACAUGUGUAUCGUGUUCUAACUGAAAACAGAGUAAGUAGAAUAUAUGUUCUUGCAUUUGGUUUAAUUGGCAUGAUUUUGAAAAGAAAAAAAAAUAGAAAACCCUUCUGGUUGGUUUGUUAUACGAUUUGUUUGUUAACACUAUUUAUUUUUCCAUCUUAGGGAACAAAGAAAAUUAAAGGCAUUGUGGUGAAGUUGCCCAAACCAGAUGUGAUACCCUUGAAUGCAAAAAGCUUUUUCAAGAUGGAAAAUCUUGAAAUUUUUAUAAUCCGUAAUGCACACUUUUUUGGAUGCGUUGAGUAUCUACCUGACGAUUUGAGGUGGAUUGAAUUUGGUGGAGAUGGGCUUCAAGACUGGGGAUCCAAUAUUCUUCAAAAGCAUAUAUUUACAUUCAAUUUGCAAUCCAAUUGUCAUCUAAGGCAUCUUGUCACGUUUAUUAUGCCAAACAGUGACAUCAGACAAUUGAAGGUAUUUCAGGUAUGUAUACGUAUUAUAAAUUAAUUUGGACAAUUACUAAUUUAAUUGUAUAUUUUAUUUUUGGAAAAAGAAAUUUGCCAAAGCUUUUCAUCAUUAAUUAUUCUAUUUAAAGUUUGUGAUUUUGUUUUCUUUUGAUUUUGAUUUCACAGAAUUUGGCAAAGCUUACAUCUUUGGAUUUAAGUGGUUCCGAAUUCUUAGAAAAAAUUCCCAACUUAUCCGGAAGUCCAAACCUAAGGGAGUUGAUUCUAGAUGAGUGUAAAAGUUUAGUUGAAGUUGAUGAUUCUGUUGGAUUCCUUGAUAAACUUGAUACAUUAAGUCUUUAUGGGUGCUCUAGGCUUGAGAGAUUUGCGACGAGACUUAGAAUGAGAUCCCUUCAAAGCCUUAAUCUUGAAGGUUGCACAAGGCUCAAGAGUUUCCCAGAAAUAGAGGCCAAGAUGGAAUCUCUACAGUAUUUGAACAUAUCAGAAAGUGGCAUAAGAGAAUUGCCUUCAUCAAUUGCAAAUCUAACUGGGCUUGAAAUGUUGAAUGCAAAUGAAUGUGAAAACCUUACAGGUACAUCAUUACAUCACAUUUAUGGGUUGCAACAUCUCGACUGUAUUGAAAUGGAUGGAUGCCCAAAACUGGUGAUAUUUGGGAAGUUUUCAACUAGCUUAGAUACUUCACAUUACAACAGUGUCCCAUUAGCCCUUUUCAACGUACGCCAUCUUUAUCUUGGUGAAUGCAAUUUAUCAGAAAGUGAUUUUCUUGUGCCUCUUCAAUAUGAACCAUCCAGUCUUCAUUGCUGGUGGUCCACAUUAACAGAUCUUAAUCUGUCGAGAAACAAUUUUGUUAGUCUUCCGAAUUGCAUUAGCAAAUUUGUCAACUUGGAAACACUUUAUUUGACUGGUUGCAAGAGGCUUCGGGAAAUUCCACAUGCCCUUCCACCAAAUCUAAGUUGUUUAUUUCUGGAAGAGUGCUCAUCAUUGGAGAAAAUUCCAAAGUUGCCCUCGGGGCUUAGGCUUCUGCGGUUGACUAAUUGCUUUAGACUAAGUGGCGAUGAGGUGGCAAAGUUGGAAAAUAAUUUGUUGAACUUGAAUCAGGUUCGUCUCUCCUCUCUUAAUUUCUCUUGAAGUUAAAAUAUAUAAUUUGUAGAUACUUGGGAGGGAGAACCGAUCAUGAUUGUUUGUAAUUAGUUAUUUACAUAUUAUUCACUAUUGCAGGAAACUCUUCGGUGCUCUCAAUUGCAGGUUACGUAUCCAGGCGAUGAAGUUCCAAAGCGGUUCAACUAUACCUCUAAACAUUCAACUAUACCUUAUUAUGGUGGAAGUGAAUUUAGUUUUGAAAUUCCUCUAAAUUUACAGGAGAGGGAGACGUUAUUAGGAUUGGCUCUAUCUUUUGUUUUUCAACCACGGCCUUUAUCAGAAGAAUUUGGAUAUGAUUACAAUUUUCGUAUUCACAUCAACGAAGCAAGUGAUUAUAAAGAAUUUAAGUGGAAUGGGGAAGGCAUGGAGACAGCUCAUGUGGGGCUCAUGUUAGUGGAUUUAGAGAAGCAGGGAGAAAGCCCAUGUGGGGCUCAUGUUAGUGGAGAUAUUUGUAAAGUUAAAUUUCAUUUCCCCGCAGGGGCAGGCAUUAAAAGCUGCGGGGUGCAGCCCCUAUUGCGCAAAGGAGAUGAACAGCUUCCCUCGUCUUUGGAACCAACGAGUAGCCUUGGAUCCUCAGAUAUCGUCAAUGAUGAAUAUGAUCGGCAACAACAAUGGCCUUCCUUAUCUUCGAACCCAGCGGAUGAUCAUCCGACACACACACAGAUUGAUCACAAUGUUCCUUCUGAUAUUGAGGAGGAGCAAGAGCAACCGUCCACCAUUUCUGAUUUACUAGGAGUUUGGGUACGUACAUUUCAGUUUUAGUGAUUUUUUUUUUAUUAUUCUUUAUUGUGAUAUCUUUUUUAAAUUAAUAUAAUUAAAAUUAAUUAAUUUAAAUUAAAUAAAGGAAAAUUUUUGAACAAUCUGCAUAAUCAAAGAUUUCAUAUCUUUAGAAACAAAGAUUUCAUAUUUGUAGGUGGUUAGUUAUUAGAAUCAACUUGAUUGAUCUCGACCCUCAUGAUCUCAUAGGUCUCGGCCUGCGUCGGUUGUUUAAAUUUCUGGUGUAAGCCAAGAAAGUGAACUCAUUAAUGCUGCUGCUCUAGUUAGUCAGCCUGUUGUUUCUGCCAAGGAACCGACAAGCCUGCGGUCUAUUUGUGUUCCACCAUCGGAACCUGGGAGUGACGCGUGCAUUAGUUGUUGGAAUUGGACUUCAAAUUCUUGAACAGGUUUGGUUGAAAAAGUUAAAAGGGAAAUUUUAUUUAAACUCAUAUAACUUUUUUUCUACACUCCUCAGGUGUAUGAGCAGGCUGGUAUCGCCGUUCUUCUAUCUGACAUAGGGUUGAAUCCGACAUCUGCAUCUCUCUUCGUAAGUGCCAUUACAACUUUCUUAAUGGAUAUAGCUAGUAGAAGAUAAUUUCGAACACCUUCGGUUUCCUAGAACAGAUUGCUAACUUUUAAUCAAAAUUAUAACUAGGGUACACUAUCCAAAUGAUAAAAUACAGUUUAGUGUCCCUUCAGUUCUAUUUUAGACUAAAAGUUUGUAACCGGUUCUAUCUAUGCAUAUUUGCGGAAAAUAAGCUUUCCUUUUUGCCUUUCUUGGUAUGCAGGUCACUGCUGCUCUCCACAUUAUAUUGUCCCUCACUCUUCUUGUAGUUGCCAACAUUGUCAACUUGGGAACUGUUCUGAAUGCAACAAUCUCCACCGCCGUGCCUGCUGCUUCGUCAUGGCAUUUGGAGUAACCCCGAACAUUCUCUGCUCAGAGAUCAUGCCUACGAGCAUCCACGGCCUCUGCAUUGCCAUCUGUGCCCUCACAUUCUGGAUUGGAGACAUCAUCAUCACUUACGCAUUUCCUGUCAUGCUCUCCUCCGUUGGAUUUGCUGGCAUCUUCGGAAUCUAUGUUGUCGGGUGCAUCGUUCCUGGAUAUUUGUUUACUUGAAGGUGCCUGAAACUAAAGGCAUGCCUCUUGAAGGUAGCUGCUGCUGAUGCAUCUGUUGGAUUCCAAUGAUAACUGAUUUGAUUUAUUUAGAGGGUUUGAAAGUUUGGUUUGGCUUUAGACGGGAUUAUGAGGACAGGAUUUGAGUUGGAAAAAGUGUUGAUGACUGGAUUGGAUUUUUAGAAAGUGAUUUUGUAAUCAUCACUAUCUACUGAUUGCUUGUCUGACAUAUUUUUUAAAAAUUAGUGUCUGAUACUAAUUUGACUUGCCUAUUUUAACCAUUUAUUUAUAUCAUCAUUUGUAUCAUCUUUCUAAUAAAAAUGAGACUCACAUGCAUUUACAAGCCGUAAAAAAAUUAUAUACAAAUAGAUGAUAAAUAUAGCACUACUAUUUUUGUAAUAUUUUUUAAAAUUUUGUAGAACGAAAAAAAGGAAAAGAAGAGAGACUGUUUUAACUGCAGGCCUAAAAGCAGAGCCCUGUUGCCGCGUAGCACUAGGAAGUCAGUCAUCGUCUUCAGUCUUCACCAAAUUGAGUUAGAAGAAUUAGGGUUUUAGAGCUGCAAAGAUCCAAACUUUAUCAGUCUCUCCGAAAGUAAUUAGAGAAAUGGAAACCCAAUCAAGGGAUGGAGACUCUCUGGAGAAGCGGCCCGGCAUCUUCUUCCUCGGCUCCCCCGGCGUCGUCAAACGCUCUCUCAUUUCCCGUAUGCUCUCUCUCUUUCUCUCUCCUUUGGUCGAUAGAUUUCUAGGCUUACCGGGUUUGGAUUUUUGACGAUGCUUCUGAUUCUUCAUCGUCAUCUCAGCUGGUAGUUGAUGGGUAUGUAAAAUUUUGAACUUAGGGAUCAAAGAAUUCAACUCUUAUGAAUUUUGGGAACAAACAAUUCGUUUUGAAUUCUUUUGAAAUGUGUAUUUUGAUGACUUUUGUUGUAAAGAAAUAGAUGGAAUAUCUCUACAAAUUACUACACAGCUGGUGUUUCGGUAUGGUUGGUUCAUCUCCAUGACGAAUUUUUUAUAGAGUCCCUCCCAAUGUAUGAGCAGUUGGCUGCCUUGAUCUUGGUUUUCGACACAACUGAGGUUUUGGUCUCUUGCCACUCACUCUUUGUCACUUUGUUUACUUGUUUAUCAUGAUUUUCAAUGUGUCUUAUAUCAAUUUGCUCUCAUUAUGCUGCAGUUGUCGUCUCUGUCUGCGCUUCAGGAAUGGGUAUCUCAAACUGAUCUUCAAAAGUUCGAUAUACUAGUAUGCGUAGGGAAUAAGGUUGAUCGUGUUCCGGGUCACCCGGUUCGUGCCGAAUAUAGAAGACGACUGCAGAAGCUUGGAGACCCGUUUGCUGAUGCCGGUCCAGGGUUCACUGCGUAUGGAAUCUCCGAGACUGAAGGAAGCAGUUUAUUGGGGGAUGACGAGCCAUUUUGGGGGGCUAGCCACACAUGUUUGGAAUGGUGCACUGAGCAUAACAUUGAGUUCGUUGAAGCUUGCGCUUCAAAUACUGAUUUUGACAAAUGUAAGGUAGCCCUUCUUUCUGAUUUGUAGUUUAUGGCAAGUUUUAUACGAAAGUGAAAAAUAAAAAGUACCCUGCUCGAAGGUUACUUUCAUGUGUCAGCUUCAAUAUUAGAAAGAGUUGGUUAGCCUGAGAAAAUGAAUAAAAGUGAUAUCGUGAUAAAUGAGCACGUCGAUCGUACGGCACACAAAUUUCCUGCUUUGUUGGAUAUCUUUUAAGUUUAAGGUACUGUUUUACAGGUUUGUCAGUUGAUGGCGACUCGCAAGGUAUUGAAUGACUUUUUGGUGCUCUUUCCGCACAUAUGUGGCCUGAAAUGAUUCUGAAAUCAGGCGAUAAGAUUGCUGAACCGUCAUUACCUGAAAGAGGAGUAGGUUUUAUACUAUGCCGCUUAUAUUUGGUUUAUAAUAUAUAUUUUACUAUUAAGUAGGAUUCUAAAUGUCUGAAACUUGAAUCCUUUGUGCUAGACUUGUCAGAUGAAGAAUCUGAUUAUGAAUUUGAGUAUGAAGUCCUCUCUGCAGGUUCAGCUGAUCCAUUUGAUGACACGGAAGAAUGGGUUUCUGCGAAUGGUUUUGCUGGACCUUCAGAUAUGCGAGGACUGGCUGCUCAAGGUAAUCUAGUCCUAGAAUGCAAACAAGAGAAUGGAACCAGUUCUAAUAAGGAGGUUCCCCGUGCCUUGAACUCGACAGCUGCGUUGGAUGAUAGUAUUAGCAAAGGAGUAUCCAGUGCAGAAGAACCUGAACAGGACACAGAACAUGACCAAGCCCCAGAACCGGAUGAGGGUACGAAUUUUGAAUUUGAAGAUUUGGAACAGUCGAUGUCUGAGAUUGGGAACCUGCGCAACAGUUCGAGAUUGCUGCCGGAUUUUCAGAGAAGAGAUAUGGCUGAUAUGGCUGCAAUGCUGGCCAUGAAAAUGGCUACCAUGUUUGGGGUUGGCAGUGAUGGUGAAGUGGAAAGUAUCGGCGAGUAAAGGCUAUGAGUAUCUGUUGACCCUAGAAAUUACAAAGCCUACGUGGCGCGCAGGCCGAGUAUAUUCUAAGCUAACUACGUCCUUCGGUGAUUGCGGGGCGUGCCAACUCGUCGGCCGAGGUUCGGCCGAGGAAUAAAUUUGAUGAUGCUGUGUUGAGUCGCGCUACUGACUUUUGCGUCUUGCGAUUGCGGCCGAGAAAGGAACACGUCUCGGCCUCUUGGGUUCUCGAGCCUGAAGACAAGGCUGCUAUUUCUUACAAAGUUCACGAACCGAAUUCGGCUUGCAAUGUGCCGAAUAAUAACUGUGACACCUCACCUCGCCGAGAAGGCUAAUGAGAUGACCUCGACCAACAAGGAUCCGAAAACCCCUCUCGACCGAGACUUGGAUAGGUAACCGACCGUUCUCGCCGCAGUGCUGUUGAUGCCAACGGAAGAUACUGCGAGACCGACCGACUCUACGGUGACAGAGCUAUCUAUGCCGACUUAAGAUACCACCGGUUGCUUCCACAGUGCUGUUGAUGCCAACGGAAGAUGUGUCAGCGAAAAAGGAAAAGAAAAAGAUCUCAAGUUGUGAGAAUUUGCGCAGGGCAAUUUUGUAUUGAUUUUUGUGGGGGCCUCUUGAAUAAUGCACAGCCUCAUGUAUUUAUAAUACUAUUUACUGGCCAUGUUGAACUUUAUCCGUCGCGGCAUCCAAGCUAUCAAAAUAAUAUUCCUCAGAAUAUUUUCCUUCAACAACCCCACGGAUUGCUAUUCAAUUGUUAUCUUUUGCAUGCCCAAAAGAGACCAUAUCACUUGGAACUCUACUUCCCGUCAGACAGUAUCCUAAACAUCACCAACUCUUGCUUGGUCAAUCCUAAUCUUUCACCCAUCCACAUAUGCUUUAUCCACGCAUACAUGAUACUUAAAACAAAUGGUUAAUGGUUUUUGCUUUAUCUGCAAAAACUACCAUGAUCCUGUCACAUCACCUUGUUUUGGUUACUCCCCACAUCAUCUCAAUGUGCUGAUCAUCCCAUUACUUUGUGGAAUUGCUCCCCACGGUUCCGUAUACCAAAUAGAACUCCAAUGCUGCAUGGUAUUUUACAUAACCACAAUUAAUUCAAACUCUGUUGUUGUUGUUUUCAUUGGAGAUAAUGAAAAUCCCAUUUAUUCCUCCGUAUAAGAAAAGGAUAAAUAAUGAUUAUGAUAAAAAUCAUAAUAUUAUCCCUCUAUCUUCACUUUUCGAUCGACGGUGUAGAAACGUGCUUACUCAACGGCCUUGAUUACUCGGGCCGAUGGUGUAAAUUUGGGCUCAAACAUUGCCCCCCAAUUUCCUUGCACUUCGGCUCGUAAGCCGAAUGGUUAAGGAAAUUAGCGCAGUUGAAGAAAUAUAUAGUCGAAGAGAAUUGAGCAUCCACCGCCGCAUAAAAAAUCACUCGGCAGAAAGUUGUUCUAAAUACAACCUUGCCGAGGAAGAAAAGCAACCAUAUACCAGAUGAUUGGGUUCUAUGCCGAAUACCCAACAGACAGAGCAACAUGGAGAAUCAACAGCCUCGGCAUCAAUCUAUGACAGCACACAAUACACUAAAACACAUUUUCAUGCAAGCUAACUUUAUACAUACAUAUAUAUAUAUAUAUACAUAUAUAUAUAUAUAUAUAUAUACAUAUACAUAUAUAUAGUUGAGGUCAAAAGCACAUGCACGUGGUCUUAGUGUUCUUCUCAGUUGAGGCGCACAAAACCCAAAAAGAAAAACCAAAUCAACUAGGCAAUACCUUGACAAGCCGUCCUUGGCCAACUUCUUUUAUAUAUCUCGGCCAACUUUUUUUUAUUUUUUUUUUAUUCGGCUUUUAUUCGGCCUCGGUCUAGACGGUCGAAAUGCUCCUUUUUUCCAGUUUGUGCAUCAAAAAUUAUUCCUACUUUUUCUCUCUUCUGCACCGAGUAUCAAAUUUAACCGAGUAUCUGUGUAGCCCCCCUUAUUUUCUUAUGCAUCGGCUUAAUUAGCCAGAUGAUUAAGAAAAUAAUUUAUUCUCUUUUUUUUUUUUUUAAAAAAAAACAGAAGAAAACGAAAGUGGCCGAUCAAUAGUAAGGAGGAGGCCAACGAUGCUUUACUCCAAGCCGAGAUCUUUUAAUAUCAAAAUUCUCAAAUUGAUUUUGCUCUAGGCCGAAUAAAGAAUUUUCUCCAAAUAUUUUUGACUUGGUGAAAUAUUUUUCAUUCUCGGCCGCCGAAUGUGUUAAACAAUUAUUAUGCCCCCCAGGCAUAAUUUCGGCUUUUAAUUCAAACAACUUAGCCGAACAGGAUUUCUCCAUAUCGGCUUUAUUGCCAAUAAUCAUAUCAAUUGGCGUAGUUUCUUGGGCUAGGCCAAUAUCUUGGCCUUGUUCGUCAUUGGAGCAUUCCUCUGACGAAUCAUUUUCCAAGUCAAUUUUUGUAUCUAGCUCAAGAACUUGAAUUUUUUCUUCUAGGCCUACCACACUUUCAGUCUCGACCGAAAAAAUAGGUGGCUUUUGUUCUUCGGCCAAAUUAACAAUUUUCUUAGGCUGAUGUCUGAUUACGGCCGGAGCGAAAAAUUGCCCCCCGGCCUUUAGGCCUAACCAUUUUUCAAAUGGAAUAGAUUUGUAAUCAGAAACGUAAGGAAAAUUUUCUUCAUCUAGCCAGGCAUUAAAUCGAGCCCUGUCUUCAUUUAUCCAUUGCCCUUGUAGGAUAACAGGAGCUUUUAUUUUCAACAUGCAAGCGAAUGACUUUUGCAUCUCUUUAUGGCCACGAAGAACUUUUUAUGCUUCCAAAGAUUUUUUUUGUUCCUCAUUGUAUUUUUUCAAUUCCUCUAGGAGCUCGUGCAAUCGGCUAAAUGGAGCCAGAUUGACAUUUUGAUCUAUCAUGUGAACUUCGUAGUUUUAGCACUGGGUCCCACUGGGCGUGCCAAAAUGUUGACCCUAGAAAUUACAAAGCCUACGUGGCGCGCAGGCCGAGUAUAUUCUAAGCUAACUACGUCCUUCGGUGAUUGCGGGGCGUGCCAACUCGUCGGCCGAGGUUCGGCCGAGGAAUAAAUUUGAUGAUGCUGUGUUGAGUCGCGCUACUGACUUUUGCGUCUUGCGAUUGCGGCCGAGAAAGGAACACGUCUCGGCCUCUUGGGUUCUCGAGCCUGAAGACAAGGCUGCUAUUUCUUACAAAGUUCACGAACCGAAUUCGGCUUGCAAUGUGCCGAAUAAUAACUGUGACACCUCACCUCGCCGAGAAAGCUAAUGAGAUGACCUCGACCAACAAGGAUCCGAAAACCCCUCUCGACCGAGACUUGGAUAGGUAACCGACCGUUCUCGCCGCAGUGCUGUUGAUGCCAACGGAAGAUACUGCGAGACCGACCGACUCUACGGUGACAGAGCUAUCUAUGCCGACUUAAGAUACCACCGGUUGCUUCCACAGUGCUGUUGAUGCCAACGGAAGAUGUGUCAGCGAAAAAGGAAAAGAAAAAGAUCUCAAGUUGUGAGAAUUUGCGCAGGGCAAUUUUGUAUUGAUUUUUUGUGGGGCCUCUUGAAUAAUGCACAGCCUCAUGUAUUUAUAAUACUAUUUACUGGCCAUGUUGAACUUUAUCCGUCGCGGCAUCCAAGCUAUCAAAAUAAUAUUCCUCAGAAUAUUUUCCUUCAACAACCCCACGGAUUGCUAUUCAAUUGUUAUCUUUUGCAUGCCCAAAAGAGACCAUAUCACUUGGAACUCUACUUCCCGUCAGACAGUAUCCUAAACAUCACCAACUCUUGCUUGGUCAAAUCCUAAUCUUUCACCCAUCCACAUAUGCUUUAUCCACGCAUACAUGAUACUUAAAACAAAUGGUUAAUGGUUUUUGCUUUAUCUGCAAAAACCACCAUGAUCCUGUCACAUCACCUUGUUUUGGUUACUCCCCACAUCAUCUCAAUGUGCUGAUCAUCCCAUUACUUUGUGGAAUUGCUCCCCACGGUUCCGUAUACCAAAUAGAACUCCAAUGCUGCAUGGUAUUUUACAUAACCACAAUUAAUUCAAACUCUGUUGUUGUUGUUUUCAUUGGAGAUAAUGAAAAUCCCAUUUAUUCCUCCGUAUAAGAAAAGGAUAAAUAAUGAUUAUGAUAAAAAUCAUAAUAUUAUCCCUCUAUCUUCACUUUUCGAUCGACGGUGUAGAAACGUGCUUACUCAACGACCUUGAUUACUCGGGCCGAUGGUGUAAAUUUGGGCUCAAACAGUAUCUAAGAGAGAUGUGAGUGUUACACAUCCCUGAAUCCCCUUGGACUUUUUUCCACAACGUGGCAAGGAAAGGAGAAUCGGCAGUCUUCUUUUCUCUUUUACUGUAUAAGUAGGUUCAGAAUAGUCGAUACCAAUUAACCGUGCCCAAACCGAGUUUGUAAGAAACUUGUGCUUUUAAUGAAACAAUGGAAAUGUUGGGAUUGCAUUCGAAAAUCGAAGGGAUGAAUCGAUUCCUGUAUGAGCGCAAUUAGUGAUGAUGUUUCUCAACUUCGAUAUGAAAACCAACGUACAAAUUACAAAUUUCCUCCAAUGAUGGAUGCAAAUCAAUCUUAGUUGAUGAAUCGAUUUUAUACUAUAUAUUACUCCCUAUUCUUGGUAUAUUUUGGUUAUUAUUUUGGUGAGAUUUUGAUGCUUUGUUAUGUGUUUUUAAUGUAGGACAUGCGAACUUGUUAUGAGCAUAAAGUAAUCAAACAGUGGAUUUUUUGAGUGAUUCCAAUUGGAGCGGGUUUAUGAAUCUGUCAAGAAGGCUGUAUCAAAAUUUCAUAAUUUUAUCCCCAAGCAUUUGAUUGUGGCGAAUUAAUUUAUACCCAACGCGCAGUGUUGGCAUAUGGGGCUGCAGAGCUUAUUUGCGACUCCUGGGUUGGAAGAUGAUGGAUUUUGGACUUGGACUUGGACUUUUCUUGAAACUUGAAGAGGAGGUCCUUUAAUUCAAGUCGAUUUGGGCUUGUUUUGGAGCCCUAAAGGUCCAAAAACGUGGUUAUCUCUUUGCUGGGCAGAUUUCGUAGUUAGAAUAGGAAUGCAAUUCCUAGUUAUCCUUUUAUUAUUUUAUUUCCUAGUUUUUAGAAACCUUUUCUAUGAGGGUUUAAAUUGGGAGUAGUAUAAAUAAGGAUUUUUUAGCCAUUAGGGUUCUGGGGGGAGAAUGUAUGCAUUAUUUUGUAGAACUUCAAACUUUUUACCUACAAGGUGUUUUCAUUCUUUUUUCUAGUUAAUAUAUUUUAUUUAUUUUUUAUUAUGAUUGUUCGUAACUAGCUCUUUUGCUAGGGCGAAGCCACAAGCCUUAGCAUGAAUAUGUGAUUUUAUUAAUUUGCCUAUGAAUGGAUACAUGCUUGCUUUGAAUUAUUAACCACGACGAUUAAGCUAUCUAAUUGUUUUAGUGAUUCGUGAUCAUUAGGGUAUUAGACAAGCAAUUUGAUGCAAUUUCUGUUGGAACAUCACUCUGAAAUUGAGGAAGGCUUCUUGUGAUUAGUAAUUGUAAGUUCACUUAAGGUGAACAUCAUGCUCUUAGGGUUGCAUGGUUUUUUGAAGGGUUUUCACAAAGCUUAAUGAAUCUUACACGUUUAUAUUUGAUCGGGACAUCACAGACGGAUUGCAUGUUAGAUAUAUAUUUUCGCUUGAACAUCACAAGGAAAAUAUGUAUUAGGAAAACCUAACCUUCAAAGCAUGUAUGUAGAAAUUCAUAAGUAAUUGGUAAAAUUACAUAGGAUUGUUAAUGGUGACUGCAGAAUCCUAGUGUUUAAAUUGUUUUCCAAAACCUUUGUCUUUUGCUUUCUUUACUUUGUCAAGCACUUAAUUAUUUUUAUUUAAAUUCGUUUUUAUUAUUUUAAAUUCCAAAACCAACCAUUUCAAACCUUUGUUCUAAAUAAUUAGCUAAGAAUUAGUUUAAAUACAAAUUAUUCAUUCAAUCUAUGCGGCAAACAACCUUGUUUGAGCUAUUAUACUACGAUACCCUUGUACUCUUACAAAUAUUUUUAAGUGUUUUUAUUCCUACUUUUGUAGGUGAUAAAAAUCCUAUCAAGAAAUUGGUGCCGUUGCCGGGGAUCGUUUCAAAUAAUUUGUGUUUAUCAUAUUCUUAGUUAAUUAUUUUUGUAAAUAUCUUUUUACUUGUUGAUUUUAUUUUUAUUUUUAUAGGUUAUGUUUUGUUGGUUUUGAGAACAGUUAAACGAUGGGCUGGAAUCUACAACCAACAGGAGGGCUACCUUCAUGGAAUUAUAUCAAUAUGAGGAACUCUCAAAGGCCUAGGUGCGAUCCAUACUCAAAACUUUACAAUCUAAGAGCCCCUUGAACAGCCAACCGUGCCACAAAGAUCUACUCUAGAUGACAAACUUGCUGAAUUGGCAGAGUGUGUCAAGCAAUUUGUUGAUAGCAUGCCGAAUACCAAACCAUCAGCAAAGAUAAUUGAAGAGCAAGAUGGGCAGCUUUCGUAUCAAUUCAUAGAAAAUGAGAACGAUUCAUAUUCAAACUUUUACAAUCGGUGGACAGAGCAUCCUACUUCUAUGUGGGUAAGCAAUCAACAGGCUUUUCAGCAGCCCUGUGUGCCACAAAAACUUUCUUUGGAGGACCAGAUUGCUAAGUUGGAGGAGUCCACUAGGUUGUUCAUGGAGGGUACCCCUUAGUUGCAGAAAAUAAAUUCAAUCGACAAUCUGGCACAGCAAAUCGAGCAUCUCACGUAUCAAUUGGAAGAACAAGAAAACGAUUCCAAUUCAAAUUUCCCUAAUCAACCAAUCGCAAACCUACAGGGUUCAAAGGAGUGCUCUGCAGAUCAAACAUUGAGAUGGGGGGAAAACCAACGAUACUACAAUGGAAGAAUCUGAAAUUGAAGGCCCAACGGGAGAAACAGCGCCUACUGACCUUGAACCUGUUAUGACCCAAAGGCAGCAGCAGACCAUGACGGAUCAACAAAAUCAAGAUUCUAUGCGGACACAUGCAAAAGUGCACAUUAAUCUGCCGCUACAGGAUGCGACUGAAAAAUCUCCAAAGCAAUCACUAAAUUUCAAUUUAUUCGAGGCUCCAAGGCAACCCGCUAAGCAGCAGGAAUGCAUGAAUACUCAAACAGAUUUGGAUACAGGGCAGACGGGUGGUGAUGAGAAAUUUUUAAAUGCUGUACUGGAUAGUACACCAGCACAGCCGAUCAUAUUUAGAGAAAUUUGGGGAAAGUCCUACAAGCAAGCUAAGAUUUGCAUGGGAAAUAAGAAAAAGCUUAAUGGCAGCUGCAUUCUUCGUCAACAAAUUCUACUAGUGCAAAGGUUGUGGGUGUUAAAUACAAGGUUCAAGUCAUCCAAGUAUUGAACUUUGAGUGUGUGGAUUAAUCUGUUCACAUGUGUGCAAUAUGAUUUGGCCGAUGAUAAUAAGUUCACCAAGUGUUUCAAGAAAUGCCGUAGUGAAUAAACUAAAUUUUCUUUUUGAGUGGUUCCGGCUCUAUUCCUAUCUAGGAAACUUGGACCUUCUAGGACCUCCAAUGUUUAUUCUACAAAGUAUUGCUUGUGAGUGCUCUGGAUUGCAAAUUAUGAUUCCAGGCAAUAAAGUUUCAAGACGGUUUGGCUGUACCCAUAAAGAUCAAACGACAUUUGAACUUCCUCUAGAUAACGAAGGAUGAGAGAGAGGUAAAUCAUGUGUUGCUCAUUUUUUCAGCUUAGCUGACAAUUAAUUAAUUAAGUCCGUCGAAAAAAAAUACAAAACAAAGAUGUGGCCUUCGAAAGUGGGCAAAUGGGUCGGAAUUAUUAUUUCAUUCCCGGUGAAGAAAGGCCACAGUUGAUUACAAUAUCAAAAAAUAAUUGAAUACAGACAAACUAUAGUGAUCAGAUCAAAGGAAAAAGAAACUCCAUAGUGGAGAGAAAUUUACCUACAUCAUCAUCGGAGAUACUUUCCUUGGUAUGGCCACUAUUAGUAAUAUUUUUAUAUUUUUCAGUUGUCUGUGAUUAUUUUAAAAUAUUAUAACGGUGGAUUGUUACAUCAAAGGUAGUUGGUAGUAGUUUGCAACAAAACUUUAUCUCCUUUAAAUUAAAGAACCCCAAGUAACAAUUUUAUAUUUUUCAAUCGUCAAUGAAACUGCCUAGAAAAUUCAUCUCCUUCAACUUGACACCACAUUCAUAUUGAAAGGUAGUAGGUAGGAAACCGCUUGGUAGGUAGGAAGAAAAGCAUGAGGACUAAUAUAACAAGAGAGAGUCCACAUUCACAUUGAAGGUGGUAGGAAACUGCUGCUUCCUUCAAGGGAAGAAAAGCAUGCGUAAGGCCUGAUAUUAAUAUAUAUAACAAGAGAGAGUCCAAUGUCCACACUCCAUAGUCCAUACCAUACUGCAUAUUCCAAUUCUUUGAGAGGCCUCUUUUCUUUAGUUUAUUUGUCUUUAAUUCUCUUAUGGCCAUUCAACUUGCCUCUUCUUCUUCCUUGCCUCCUUCAUGGACAUAUGAUGUAUUUUUGAGUUUUAGAGGUGAGGAUACACGCUUUACUUUUACAGAUCAUUUAUACGAGGCCUUGCAUCGUAACAGAAUCGACACCUUCAUUGAUCGCCAUUUUAAAAGAGGAGAAGAAAUAUCACCGGCUUUUCUAAAGGCAAUUGAAGAGUCGAGAAUUUCAAUCAUUGUAAUCUCUGAAAAUUAUGCAUCGUCAAGAUGGUGCUUGGAUGAGCUCGUACAUAUCCUUGAAUGUAGAAGGUCAAGGCAGCAAAUAGUUUGGCCAGUUUUCUACAAGGUGGAUCCGUCCCAUGUACGAAAUCAAACGAGUAGGUUCGGUGACGCAUUUACAGGACUAGAGUGCAAAUACAAGGACGAGGAGAAGAUCCUCUUAUGGAGGAGUGCUCUUAAAGAAGUAGCAAAUUUGUCAGGACAUACUGUCAAAGAGGAAGAGUACGUACAUUUCUUCACUCCUUUUAGUUUGUUUAAUUAUAUGAUUCUGUAUUUCAGGUUUUAGUUUCUACUAAAAUAAUACCUAUUUAGUUGCUAGUUUUUAAAUCCCUAGCACUUAAAAACUGCAGCAAUUCCAUAAUUUUCCAGCUUUGUUGAAUGGCAAGUCUAUAAUUUACAUAUGAAGAAGAUAACUCUUAUCAAUGCUACUAUAUAAAGUUGGAAGCCCAUUUGCGGUCACGGGUUUCACCAUAAAUGAUGGGAUAAAAAUGCUCCUCAAAUAAAAAAGUUCAAAAAAGUCUAAAAUAAUACAUGAAAUAAUGUAGGAAUAUUUUGGUAAUAUAAACAGCAUUUUUUUUAUAAUUAAUUUUUUUGUACAGUUUUAUUUUAUAUUAUUUUUAUAAUUAAUACCAUAAUGUGUUAGUAAUAAUGUGAUUUAAUCAGUUGUUAAUUAAAUAUUAUUUUCUCUAUUUUUAAACAUGUUCAAAACAUCUUAAAAGAUAUGUAAUGCCGGUUAUAAAAAUGAUAUUUCUUGCGUGUAUUAUCUACAUUAAUGAAAAGGGGAUAGAUUUACUCCACACGCGCUACGCGCAUGAAGGCCAGUUUAUGUUAAACCUACAUGACCAUCUUCUUCAUAUAUAAUUAUCGACUUGUCAUUCACCAAAGCUAGCGAAUCAGGGAGUGACUCCUGUUGUUGCGGGCACUCCUCUUUCGUGUAAUACUCUGUCAUUGUUUUUGGGAACUGAUAAACUCACCCCGUUACUCUUAUCUUCCCACACAUUAUUAUUCCAUCCGCCAUACAAAAUUAAAAAAAAUUAAAAAAAAUUAACAUCUUAUUUUCCAACCCCUAUAAUCUACAUAGUCAUUGGUUUUGUUGGAGAGUUGUAGAGAGCAAGAGAUCUGCUUCAUCAAUUCAACUAAUUUAGUUCGAAGCAAAAGAAUUAAAUCGAAAAAGUGGAAGUAAGAAUAUCAGAAACAGUUAAAAAAAAAAUUCGAAUCUGCAAGUAAAGGGGAAGCAGUUUAAGAGGGAGAGCGUACCGGCGAGCUUCUCAGCAUCGAACCAAGAUUCUGAUUCCCCUGUCCUCUCUCUCUCUCUCUCUCUCUCUCUCUCUCUCUUAAAUUGCUCUCCUAAAGCCGAGAUUUGAUUCAAAUGACCUGGAAGCUAUCAAAUUAAAGAUGCAAAAUUGCAACAAAACGUCCAAAAUUUUAAAAUUUGUUGGAAAAAUCCACAAACUGAUGAACAUAUUUGGAAUUGGAGCCCUAGAAAUCACAGAAACGAACCAUGAGAAAUGCUAUCUGUCGGUGGAUUCUUGAACUUCUUCCGCCACCGGAAUAAUGGAUCUUUCUCCCACCGAUCAAAACUUGACUCCAUUAAUUAAUCUGCCCAAAUAAUGUACCUAUGGUGUUGUUUUAUAAUUUACCGAUUACUAAUGAUGUUAGGUAAAUUAGUACUUUUAGGAAAUAAAUGAUACAUAUCCAUACAAAACAUCUGCUUUCAUCGGAGAAAUUUUAUUUAAACUCAUAUAAUCUUUUUUUACAUCAAAUUUACUCUCUUCAUUCAUAUUGUUUUUUUAUUAAAAAAUUAAUCUCUCUUUAAACCCAAAUUUAUUACCUAAACUAUCCACUCAAACCCAAUUCAAAAUAUUAAAUUAUCUUUACACGUAUUUCCUUUAUAAAAUAACAUCUGUAAUUAAUUUUUUUUUAAGAAACGUCUUUGCCCCACCCCCCUCUCCUAGUAGCAUUUUCAUGGCUACUUUUUUUCUUUCUGCUACCAAAUCUAGACAUUUACCUUUUUUUCUUUAUACUGAUGUGCAUAAGCAACAAAUCAAACCAUUCAUCCUCUUAUAUUAUCAACAAGCAAUGAAGUUUAUAAUCUAAGAACAUUGGUAAGAAGUUUUUCCUUAUAAUUUUUCAAUUGCAGAAAGCUUAACAAACCAUUCGGAAUUGAUGAAAAAAAUUUAAAUCAAAUGAACAAAAUAUUCAUAAAUUAAGUCAUACCUUAGUUGGAGGAUUCAAAACUUCAAAAUCACCAUCCAUCAAUAAAAAAACUCGUUUUUCUCUAGAAGACCUAUUAGGGUUUUAGCCAGAAUGAAGGAUAAACAAGAAGUGAUGGUAGAGUUUAAUGGGUUUAUUGAUAAAUUUGAGUUUUAUUAUUAAUUUCAUUUUGUACUUAAUAGUAAUUAUGCAAUAUGUUAAAAUAGACAACAACAUAACAUUUAAAUGAAAAAAAAAGUCUAUGUCUUAUUGUUAUUUUUUUUAAACAAAAGGGAAAAAAAAAAGGAAAAAGUCAAUGUCUUAAGUAUGGAUAUGGAAAGAUGUUAGGAUUUUACACAGUAAUAAACAGUGUGAAAUUGUGAAUAAUGGCAUAGGGGUAAAUAAUUUUUAUUAAUGUGUCAAUUAUUAUCUUACAUGAUUCUGUGUUUAGCUGCAAGCGGCACAUACUUGACUGCAGCAGUGAUUAUCCAUUCCUCUGUUUUUUGGACCUGGAUUGUCUGCCCUCAUCAUUCCAUGCCUUCCUAUUUAUGUGGUCACGGUUAAGCCACGUCAACAUUUUAUAUUGAUUUUGCUUUUUGUCUUAUUAUUUUUAUAAAAAAAAUUAAUAUAAAAUGUUAACGUGGCUUAACCGUGACCACAUAACAUAAGAGGGCAUGGGGAGGGCAUGGAAUGGGAAGGGCAGACAAUCCAAGUCCCUGUUUUUUUCAAUCUUUUUUUUCUUUUCAUUCUCUUCUUCUUUUUACAUUUUUUUUUCCUUUUUUAAAGAAAUAUAGCAGAAAAAGUUGAUUGGCUAAAUGUGUCAAUUUUUUAUAUAAACUGGUAGGUAUGAAGCUACAUUUAUCAGUAAGAUCGUAAAGGAGAUCUUGGUCCGCAUGCAACAACGCAUGCAUUUGAACGUAGCCAAAUACCCAGUUGGAAUUAAGUCCUGUGUAGAAAAGGUGAAAGAGCUUUUAGGUCUCGGUGGAAAUGAUCCGUGUGUGGUUGGGAUUUGGGGGGCAUCUGGAAUCGGCAAGACAACAGUUGCAAAAGCUGUUUAUAAUGCAAUUGCUUAUAAGUUUGAAGGUAGUUGUUUCCUGGCAGAUGUUCGAGAAACGUCAAUGCAAUACGGAGGCCUAUUCCAACUACAAAACACUCUUCUAUGGGAGAUUGGUGGUUCAGAGUGGAAAGUUGUCAAUCCUCAUAGAGGAAACAUCCUUAUAGAGAAACUGUUGAGGCGAAAGAAAUCUCUCUUAAUUCUUGAUGAUGUGGAUGAUUUGGAGCAGUUAAGCAACUUGGUUCAAGUUAAAUGGCUCGGUGAGGGUAGCAGAGUGAUCAUAACCACAAAAAAUAAAGGAUUGCUGGAAUCUUGUAAAGUUGAGCUGAUAUACAAGGUCCAAAAGUUAGAAGACAACAAAGCUCUUGAGCUUUUUAGUUGGAAUGCCUUCGGAAAAGAAAAACCUCCAGAUGAUUAUUUGGGACUCGCACGGCGUGCAAUAGGCUAUGCUCAAGGCCUCCCGUUAGCUCUUAAUCUUAUAGGUUCUCAUCUGCGUGGUAAAAAUAUAGAUCGUUGGCAAGAUAUUUUAGAUAGUUACGAUGAAGAACCUUAUAGAGGGAUUCAAAGAGUACUUCGGAAAAGUUAUGAUACCUUGGAUUAUGUCCCGCAACAAGUUUUCCUAGACAUUGCAUGCUUCUUCAAGGGUGAAGAUAAAGACAAAGUUUUACAGAUAUUAAAAGGAUCAAACCUCAAAGUACGUCAACAUUGUAUUGAUGUUCUCGUUGAGAAUGCCAUUAUUACUAUUGAAUAUAAUAGGAUUUUGAUGCAUGACUUGCUAGAAAAAAUGGGUAAGCAUAUAGUUUGGGAAGAAUCGCCCACUGAACCAGGCGAGCGGAGCAGAUUAUGGCAUCAUGAAGAUGUGUACCAUGUUCUAACUAAAAAUAGAGUAAGUAGAAUAUAUGUUCUUGCAUUUGAUUUAAUUGGCAUGAUUUUGGAAAGAAAAAAAAAUUAAAUCCUUUUGAUUUCUUUGUUAUACAAUUUGUUUGUUAACGCUAUUUAUUUUUCCAUCUUAGGGAACAAAGAAAAUUAAGGGCAUUGUGGUGAAGUUGCCCAAGCUAGAUGUGAUACCCUUGAAUGCAAAAAGCUUUUUCAAGAUGGUAAAUCUUGAAAUUUUUAUAAUCCAUAAUGCAUAUUUUUCUGGAUGCGUUGAGUAUCUACCCGAAAAUUUGAGGUGGAUUAAAUUCGGUGAAGAUGGGCUUCAAGACUGGGGAUCCAAACUUAAAUUCAAUUUGCAAUCCAAUUGUCAUCUAAGGCAUCUUGUCACGUUUAUUAUGCCAAACAGUGACAUCAGACAAUUGAAGGUAUUUCAGGUAUGUAUACGUAUUAUAAAUUAAUUUGGACAAUUACUAAUUUAAUUGUAUACUUUAUUUUUGGAAAAAGAAAUUUGCCAAAGCUUUUCAUCAUUAAUUAUUUUAUUUAAAGUUUGUGAUUUUUUUUUUAUUUUGAUUUCUCAGAAUUUGGCAAAGCUUACAUCUUUGAAUUUAAGUGGUUCCGAAUUCUUAGAAAAAAUUCCCAACUUAUCCGGAAGUCCAAACCUAAGGGAGUUGAUACUAAAUAAGUGUAAACGUUUAGUUGAAGUUGAUGAUUCUGUUGGAUUCCUUGAUAAACUUGUUACAUUACGUCUUGUUGGGUGCUCUAGGCUUAAGAGAUUUGUGACGAGACUUAGAUUGAGAUCCCUUCAAAGGCUUAAUCUUGGUGGUUGCACAAGGCUCAAGAGUUUCCCAGAAAUAGAGGUCAAGAUGGAAUCUCUAGAGUAUUUGGCUAUAGAAGAAAGUGGCAUAAGAGAAUUGCCUUCAUCAAUUGCAUAUCUUACUGGGCUUCAAAGAUUGCAUGCAAAUUAUUGUGAGAACCUUACAGGUACAUCAUUACAUCACAUUUAUGGGUUGCAACAUCUUUACUAUAUUGAAAUGAAUGGAUGCCCAAAACUGGUGACAUUUGGGAAGUUUUCAACUCGCUUAGAUACUUCACAUUACAACGGUAUGCCAUUAGCCAUUUUCAACGUAAGCCGGCUUUAUCUUAUUGGAUGCAAUUUAUCAGAAAGUGAUUUCCUUGUGCCUCUUCAAUAUGAACCAUCCAAUCUUCAUUGCUGGUCCACAUUAGAAGAUCUUGAUCUGUCGGCAAACAAUUUUGUUAGUCUUCCGGAUUGCAUUAGCAAAUUUGUCAACUUGAAUGAGCUUAGAUUGCAAGGUUGCAAGAGGCUUCGGGAAAUUCCACAUGCCCUUCCACCAAAUCUAAGUGAUUUAUAUCUGGAUGAUUGCACAUCAUUGGAAAAAAUUCCAAAGUUGCCCUUGGGGCUUAGGCGUCUGCAGUUGACUAAUUGCUUUGGACUAAGUGGCGAUGAGGUGGCAAAGUUGGAAAAUAAUUUGUUGAACUUGAAUCAGGUUCGUCUCUCCUCUUUUAAUUUCUCUUGAAAUUAAAAUAUAUAAUUUGUCGAUACUUGGGAGGGAGAACAGAUGACGAUUGUUUGUAAUUAGUUAUUUACAUAUUAUUCACUAUUGCAGGAAUCUCUUCUGUACUCUCAAUUGCAAGUUAUGUAUCCAGGCAAUGAAAUUCCAAAGCGGUUCAGCUAUGCGUCUAAAUAUCUAACAGCCACUAGGAUUGAAAGUAUACGAAAUGAAGAUGAAGAAGAUGAUGAAGAAGAUGAUGAUGAAGAUGAAGAAGAAGAUGAUGAUGAAGAUGAUGAAGAAGAUGAUGAAUAUGUUGGAGGUAGUGAAUUUAGUAUUGAAAUUCGUCUAAAUUUACAGGAGAGGGAGACGUUAUUAGGAUUGGCUCUAUCUUGUGUUUUUCCACCACGGGUAUCAGAAUUUGGAUGUUUUUACCAUUUUCGUAUUUACAUCAACGAAGCAAGUGAUUUUGAAUUAUUUCAUUGGAUGGGGAAGAGCAUGGAGACAGCUCAUAUGGGGCUCAUGUUAGUGGAUUUAGAGAAGCAGGGAGAUAUUUGUAAAGUUAAACUUCAAUUCCCCGUAUGGGCACGCAUUAAAAUGUGCGGGGUGCACCCCUUAUUCCGCAAAGAAGAUGAUCGGCAACAACAAUGGCCUUCCUUAUCGUCGAACCCAGCGAUGAUCAACCGAAACGCACGCAGAUUGAUCACAAUGUUCCUUCUGAUAUUAAGGUACGGAAAAGCCCUUGAGCUUUUCAGUUUUAGCAAUUUUUUUAUUGUUCUUUAUUGUGAUAUCAUUUUUUAAAUUAAUAUAAUAGAAAUUAAUUAAUUUAAAUUAAAUAAAGGAAAAAAUUUGAACAGUUUUCAAUCUGCAUAAUCAAAGAUUUCAUAUCUGUAGGUGGUUAGUUAUUAGAAAAACAGAAACCACAUUUGUAUCUUGAAGUACAUUUCACUAAUCAAAUCAAAUUCUAAUUAAUCAAAACAAACAAUUAUGGAAGGGAAACAUACAAGGAGAAAUGAGAUUAUAAGUACAAAAUUCAAGAUUAAUUACCUAAAAACUUGGUUUUGUUCAUAUAAGUACAAAAUUUCUACACGAAGAUCAAAGAACUACAUCGUAUGUAAACCACAUGCUUCUCUUUGUUAAUCAAGUUUACACGCAGAGAUGAAAGACUUGUAGGACUACUGUUUAAUCAAGAAUCGGGGUUUGCAACUAUUUUUUUAUUAGCAUUUACUUCUGCUUUUUCAAUUAAUGGAUACGUGGAAAAUUUGAUUUGGUGUGGAUUUAGAAAAGAAGCAGGGAGAUAUUUGUAAUGUUGAAUUUCUUUUCCUCAAGGGCGCAUGCAUUAAAAGUUGCGGGGUGCACCCACUAUUGCGCAAAGAAGACGAAUGGCUUCCCUUGUCUUUGGGACCAACAAGUAGUCUUGGAAAGACGCCUCGUCCACUUGGAUCCUCAGAUACCGUCCACGAGGAAUAUGAUCGGCAACGACAAUGGCUUUCCUUAUCUUCGAACCCGGCGGAUGAUCAUCCGAAACGCAGGCAGAUUGAUCUUAAUGGUCCUUUUGAUAUUGAGGAGGAGGAGCAAGAGCAACCAUCCACUUCAGAUGAUUCACAAUUUUUUCUUCAUUAGGAGUUUGGGUACGUACAUUUCAGUUUUAGUAUAACUAAAUAAUUUUUUUAAUUUUUUUUUGUAUUGUGAAUUUGUGAUACCUUUAUAGAUUAAUAUAAUAAAAUUAAUUAAUUUAAAUUAAAUACAUAAAAAAAAGAAAAUUACAUUUUACCUCCUCAACUUUGGGUCACAUAACAAUCUCAUAUUUUAUCUUUUAAAUAUUGCUAUAUUAUACAUCAAUUUACAAAUUUGCUGCAAUAUCAUGCCUCCAUCAACUUUUCUGUUAAUUUUUAUGUUAAAUGCUGAUGUGGUAGACACGGAUCCGCUCACUUACUUAACUAGGUUAUAAAAUUAAUUUAAUAUUAAAAAUUAAAGAAUUUUUAGUUCUAAAUUAAAUUAAAAUUAACAAAUAAAUUGAUGGAUAUUUUAACGGAGGUUUAAGAUUGCAACAAAUUCGUAAGUUAACUAAGACAUUGUAAUGUUUAAAAGAUGAGGUAUAACUUUGUUAUAAGACCCAAAGUUAAGGUGGCCCAUGUAAUUUACCCAAGAAUUUAAACAAUUUUCAAUUUGCAAAAACAAAGAUUCCAUAUCUGUAGGUGGCUACUGGCUAAUUCUUAGAAAAACAGAAACCACAUUUGUAUCCUAAAGUACUUUUGACUGUGAGUGAGUAAGCCACACUUCAAUAAUAAAACCAAAUUCUAAUUAAUCAAAACAAACAACAAUGGAAGGAAAACAUACAAGGAGAAAUGAGAUUAUGAGUACAAAUUUCAAGAUUAAUUAUCUUAAAACUUGGUUUUGUUCAGAUAUAUAAACCUACAAAGAGAAAUGGAGAUUAUAAGUAUAAAAUUUCUGCAGGAAGAUCAAAGAACUACACCGUUUGGAUGAACAUGUAGAGCACGUACUCCUCCCUCUGUUAAUCAAGUUUACACGCAGAGAUGGAAAACUUGUUGGAGUACUGUUUAUAUAAGAGUACUUUUUAUGAGCAUUUCCAAUUAACGAAUAGGUGAAAUUUUUUGAUUUGGUGUUGAUUAAUAAGAUUUAGUAUGAUUUUAAUAUCAAGAUGAGACAACAAUAUGUAGAAAACAUGGCCAUAAUUUCACAGGUCUCUGUCCCUAUAUAUUGAUUCCUUGCAGAUUCUGGGAUGGAGUUUGGGUCAAAAUUGCAGCCAACUGUGUCUUGACACAUUUUUGGUUUUGGACAAAUACUCUGUCUCCUGCCUUUUGCCAUUUAUGGCUCCUUUGUUUUCUCUGUUGCUGCUGGGACAGAGUCCAUUAGAUUUGCCCGUUUAUUUUCUUUGCUCCCACAAACGGGGUGCAGGAGGCUAAAAAAUGAGCUUUGAAAUUUAUAGGGCCCGUUUAUUUCAUUCCAUUGACAUUUUCAAGCUAACUUUUUGGCUUCUAUGAUCCACAGGUGAGUUGGCUUCGCACAGGCAAGGAAACAUCAUUGGAAGAGUUCAUCCUUAGUCCCCCCAAUGUGCUUACUGAAAAUCAGGGAAAUCAAAUACGGCUAUAUGGUCCCGAAAAGGGCUUAUCAUACAUCGCCAAACCUGCAACUGGACAGAGUUUUAUAUCUCACCACGGGAGCACGUUGAACCUAAGCAUGCCUCUCGUGGAUCCUCUGGUCACUCUCUUUGGCAGUGUCCACGAGAAGAUGUCCGAAAGGGGAAGCAAAGGCAGCAUGCUUUAUCCAAAUCUUGGAAGCAUUUUGAAUGCAGGGGAGUAUCAUAAUAAAAACGCACAUUGGGACAUAGAGAGCCAGACAGAUGGUGAGGAUCACGAAUCUGAAGCAUCCGGGGCUUAUUGUGAUGAAAGCUUGAGAAGUCCACUAAUCUCGUGCCAAACAACAGGCAUGGGAACGCCUAGGUCUUGCGGCAGUGCUUUAGGUGUGAGAUGCAAUACAAUCUUGAUGAAAGGAAAUGUACAAGCUAGCGAGGCUAUCAGUAGUAGUAUGGACACUGGUGGAGGUUGGCAGCUGGCUUAUAUAUAAGUAUUCUGACCGAGUAGGCGAAGACGGGAAGAAGGAAGGAGGAGUUCAAAAAGUGUAUUUGCAUCAGGAUAGUGCACUUUGGUGUCGGCCUGCGUCGGUUGUUUCAAUUUCUGGUGCAUUCAUGGUGGUCUGGUUAGUCAGCCUGAUGUUUCAGAAACUUUCUUGUUUGUCAACCUUCUAUGUUGUCGGGUGCAUCGAUUCUUGGAUAUUUGUUUACUUGAAGGUGCCUGAAACUAAGGGCAUGCCUCUUGAAGUCAUCUCUGAGUUCUUUGCUGCAGGUGUAAACCCAGCUGCUGCUGAUGCAUCUGCGGAUUCCAAUGAAAAGUGAUUUGAUUGUUUAGAGGGUUUGAAAUUUGGUUUGAUUUUAGACUGGGAUUGUGAGGAUAGGGCUUGAAUUGGAGAAGUGCUUAUGACUAGAUUGCUUUUUUUUAAAGUGAUUUUCUAAUCAUCAAUGUCCCUUCCUUAAUGCUGCAGAAGUAUAUUUGAUAUGGAAAACUAAUGAAAAUGGCUUGAAAACCCUAUUUGAUACCAUGUUUUCUAAUCAUAGAUUCUUAAUCUAAUCCUAAAUAUUGAUUGAAGUUUAAAACAGUCUAAUUAACCACCCUUGUAGUUCCAAAUUGAAGUUUAAAACAGUCUGCACUUAUAUUUUCCUAUCUAUUUAAUUUUAGGCAGACAUAUAUUGUUGUAGACACUCUUUCUUAUUAUUGUGAUCAUAUACCAAAUAACUCAAUAUAGAUCACAAUAAUUCUUACUGAAGUAUGGUUUAAAUUUUUGUUAGAUAUGAAACUGAUCAAAAUCAAAUUGCUCAUGCGUUACAUUGUAUUUAAAAAAAACGUGUGUCUAACACUAAUUUGAUUUGCAUACUGUCUUAUAAGAUCUUAUUUAACUCGUGACAAAUAAUAGUAUAUGACUUGCUAAUUUAUUUACAAAGGAGAAAUUCACUAACUUUACGUAUCCUAAACGGCCAAUAUAUGCACCUGAGUUUGAAUUUUCAUUCCCAUAAUAUAGAUUUUUUUUUUAAGUUUGUAUGAAAAGAAUUUUACAAUGUCUUGAAAAAAUAUGAAGGAAGAAAAAAAGAAACUGUUUUUAACUGCUGCCUAAGCUGAGCCCAGUUGCCGUGUAGCACUAGCAAGUAGCAACAGGAAAGUCUGCUGAGAAAAGUCAGUCAUCGUCUUCACUAAAUUGAGUUAGAAGAAUUAGGGGUUUAGAUUUGCAAAGAUCCAAAUUUUAUCAGUCUCUCCGAAAGUAAUCAGAGAAAUGGAAAGUCAACCAAAGAACGGAGACUCGCUGGAGAAGCGGCCCGGCAUCUUCUUCCUCGGCUCCCCCGGCGUCGGCAAACGCUCUCUCAUUACGCGUAAGCUCUCUCUCCUUUGACCGAUACUAAGCAUGAUCUGUUGAUUUGUUGGAUUACUGGGUUUGGAUUUAUACAAUGCUUCUGAUUCUUCAUCGUCAUCUCAACUGGUAGUCAAUGGGUAUGUAAAUUUUUAAUUUUGGGAUCAAAGAAUUCAAUUUUAGGAAUUUUGGGUACAAAGAAUACAACUUUUAGGAAUUUUGGCAACAAAGAAUUCGUUUUUAAUUCUUUUGAAAUGUGAAUUUUGAUGAUUUUUUUUGUGUUAAAAAAAUAGAUGGAAUAUCUCUACAAAGUACUACACAGCUGACGUUUCGGUAUGGAUGGCUCGUCUCCAUGACGAAUUUUCGAUUGAGUCCCUCCCAAUGUUUGACCAGUUGGCUGCCUUGAUCUGGUUUUCGACACAACUGAGGUUUCCGUCUCUUGCCACUCACUCUUUGUCAUUUUGUUUACUUAUUUAGCAUGAUUUUCGAUGUGUCUUGUAUCAAUUUGUUCGCGUUAUGCUGCAGUUGUCGUCUCUGUCUGCGCUUCAGAAAUAGGUAUCUUGAACUGAUCUUCAAAAGUUCGAUAUACUAGUGUGCAUAGGGAAUAAGGUUGAUCUUGUUCCAGGUCACCCGGUUCAUACCGAAUAUAGAAGACGACUGCAGAAGUUUGGAGACCAGUUUGAUGAUGACGACGAUCUAGGGUUCACUGUGUAUGGAAUCACCGAGACUGAAGGAAGCAGUUUAUUGGGGGAUGACGAGUCAUAGGCCAGAGACACAUGUUUGGAAUGGUGCACUGAGCAUAACUUUGAGUUCGUCGAAGCUUAUGCUGAUUUUAACAAAUGUAAGGCAGCACUUCUUUCUGACUCGUAUUUUAUGGCAAGUUUUAUACGAAAGUGAAAGUUUGAAGCCGGAUGAGAUGUCAAAUUGUUACUAGGCAGCAGUUUAGGUGUGGUUACAUAAAAACACAUGGUGUACCAUACAACUAAAAAUUUCUCCCACAUAAGCAGCACACAGGAUAAACUCAAUUGAACAAGUUGUUGCUCAGGCUCUUUUGUUCAUGAAGAAAUUUUUCAUUAUUGUGCCUAGAAUCAAGUUUUUAAUUUUUUUUUCACACAAAUAUCUCAUCACUUGUUUAGUGACACAUGAUGUAUCACCAUGUGUUAUGGGUAUACUGAAAAAUCUCUCGGCUCUAUCUCUGUCAUCUUAUAAUUUAAUUUCGAUUUUCGUGCCAACAUUACAAAACAUUAUUUCAAAAGUAUGAAGUGAAAGAUAUUCUAUGGAGACUAGGAAUAUAAGUUGCUUAUUAAGGUUUUUAUUUGACCAAUGUGAUAUUUUGGUUAGGUAAGUAAUUGAAGGUGAACGUUCUUAGUUAUCUGAAAACAUUUUUCUGAUGGUUUUAGAAGCAGCCCAAGUGACCGGUUCGAUAUUUAGGUAAGGAGGUAAAUGAUUAUGUACAAGCGUCGAUAACAUAUUCAAAAUCUAAAGCACUUAUAAACUAUCAUGAAGUAAACGUUCUUGAUUAUCUAAAGCACUUGCAAAAUUAUUAAGAAAAGGAUAUUCUUAGUUAUCUGAAAACACUUUUUUCUCAAUAAUUUUUAGAGGCAAUUUCGCAGUGUUGAGAUGUUAGCUUCGAAGGCACUCCAACUUGCAAAGAGUGCUCCACAAAGUUCAACAAAAGUAGAAACAAAAUCAAUUAAAAAUCCCAACUCACAAGUGAGAGCAAUGGUUAUGCUUCAAGGUCCAACCAUCUGACCUCUCUAAGUUAGGCUUCAAUUUUACUUCAUUUCCCACUCCAAAUUUCCAAGCAUCUGUACCCCAUUGACCCUUUGCCCGCUUUAAGCAAUCUAGAAAAAUCAUUUACAUAAGAGAAAUACUAAGUGAAUUCUUUCAAAACGAACUUUUCAUAACUCUUCGUCACAAAAAAUAAUUCAAUUUUAUUGUCUCCUUUGCAUGCAAGAAUUCAAUUUAUACCUAGCUGAUGUACAUCAUUGUAUAAAAUUCCAAAACUACCAGUGCUUUGGAUUCUGGACCUGACUAAUCACUGUAGACUAAGUAGUGAUGAGAUGGCAAAGUUGGAAAUAACUCGUUGAAUUAGGUUCAUCUCUUCUUCUUAAUUUCUGAUGAAAUGAAAAUUAAUCUUGUUGAUAACUGUAAUUAUUUAACUAUAUAUAUACAUUACUGCAAGAACUUCUUCUGCGUUCUGAAUUGAAAAUUGUUCUUCGAAGCAAUGAAAUUUCGAAGUGGUUCAGAUAUACAUAAAAAAAUUAAAUUUUUUUUCAUUGUGACGGGAAUACAGGUUACCACCACGGAUGUUUAUGUAAAUGGUGGGAAAUUUUAUUUUUUAAGUUAUUAACCUUUUAACAUACAUAUCCCAACAUUUGUAUAAUGACAUAUGGUAUACUAUUUCGUGUGCCGGUCACAUUAAAAAAUCACUCUGGUUAAGAAAAAAAUGCAUUAUUAGUCUAAAAGACCACCGAAUGUCGGUGGGACCAAGUUUGAUUGCACUGCUCCCUCUUUUUUAUUCUUGAAUUAAAAAAAAUCAAAAAGGAGAAUUAAUAGGUAAAAGUAAAAAAAUAAAAAAAGUACAAAAGAAGGAAUCGGGUGUGAAGAAAAUCACUCUACAAUACGUAAUACUUUUGUUACAUUUUUGAAAGUCAAUUGCAUGUUGAUGUGCUUUUAACUUUUGAGUACAGAAUACUUAAUAUUUGUCAAUCAAUCAUCGGUAUAUAUCAUGUUGGAAGAGGAUUCCCAUUGGAUUCUUUUUGUGGAGAUUUAGGUGAUUUUCUAAUUCUGCGUAUUUAUCGUUAUUGUGUAGUAAAAAAUCAUAUUAAAUAUUUAUAUUUAAAAUUAAAAUUAAAUAUUAUUUGACGAAAAUUGAUCGAACGAUGAACAAUAAACGCACCAAAUUAAAGGAUCUCCCUAAAUUCCCAAAAAAAAAAAUCUGAAGAUGAUCCUCUUCCUAUCAUGUUGAUAUCGUGGAGCACAAGGUAAUAGUUAGCAAACGAAAUUGAUAGGAUAGGGGUAAUGUGAUUAAUACAAGUGCAAAGACGACAACGAGGGAUAAAGUGAUACUUUCGUGCUAGUUCCGAGGACAUUUUGGUAAUUAAGCCUUUAUAUUUACUAAUCUUGAUUUGAUUUAUAAUUAGUACUCAUUUUUGGCGUCGUAUCAUUCUGACAUGGAUUCCUUCCGGAUCCAUUAUGUGGGGAACUAGGGAUAUUUACAUCUCAGUCGUUUAUUGUGUAUCGCAUGAUCAUAAAUCAGUUGAUUUUUAUUUAUUUAAAAUUAAACACAAAUUGUACAUGAUGAAAACUGAUCGCAUAAUAUACGAUGAACGCUGAGAUGUGUUGAAUCUUUAUCGAUCCCUUUUUUUUUAACGUUUAACAAUUGAACUCAUUAAUAUUAAAAUAGAUAAAAAUAGAGUACGAACAAAAAAAAAUCUUAAAUGCUUUUGUUGCAGUCUUUCAAGUUAAUUGCGUAUUUUCAUGCAUUUUAACCUUUGUAUGUACAUAAUUGAUUUGUCAUACGGUCAUAGUAGCUUCAUAUGACAUCGUUUAUGUGUCAUGCGGGUGAAAAGAACGUGUGCUUCAAUAACAAACGAAAAUAAUAAAUAAAUAAUAAAACUAAUGAAAAUGGUUUGAAAAUUUGAGUUUUAAUGAUAAAGACAAAACAAAGGAUAAAGUAAAUAGUAUCAGGAUUGACUUUUUAGUAUAAAAAUAUGGUUUUUCGUUAAAGUGAACAGUACCGAAAAGUUUUUUUGUUAAAAUUCCCUAAAAAAAAAAAUCAAUCUUUAUGAAUAGAAGUUGCAACCAAAGCUCCUCUCCAUCAAUUCUGGAAGGUAGCACGUAGGAAACUGCUUUGUGGCUGUGGGUAGGCAGAAAAGCAUGAGGCUUGACAAGAGAAAGUCCCCAAGUUUAUUUGGCUUUUAGUAUAAAUUAUUUUCUCAUUUGUCGAAGAAAAAAUCACCUUAAAUGACUCACCUUUCUUCAGGUAUGCGACAUUAUUUAUAUGGUUCAAAAUGACACAAACCGGAUAUAAAUAAUGUGGGGGUGUGGUUAAGGAAAAAAUGCAUUAUUACUUUGGUAACUCAAAAACCAUCUAUUGUUGGUGAAACCAGAAUUUUCCUAACAUUUGCUCACUGACGUUAUCGUUUUGUUGAAAAAUAUAAAUAAAUUCUGCACCUGCAUCCUGUUUUCAAUGCACUGCAUAUUCCUCUGCUUCUCUUGUUUUUUUUUUUUUUUUUUUUUUUUUUUGUUGUUCUCGUUACGAAAAUGAAAAUUAUCCAAAAUGAAUGGUAUUAGCUAUUCCCAUCCUAAAUGGAAGCGUGAAGGGAUUGUAAGAACUUUAACACAGAUCGAUGAUAUGCCAAUUGAAUUACCAAUGUUCUGAAACAAGUCAAGUGACAAAACUUAUGAACAAGAACAAGGAUUGCCGAGAACAUACCUGCAGAAUUUGAACUUGAAGAAACCAUAACAGCCUCUGUGUUCAAAACCUUCUCCUCUUUUACGAUCACAAUAGCUUUUCUAAUCAAUAGGACUUAGAACAACAUAAGCUAAUAUCGCAAGAGCAGUGGUUUGAACCAUAAAUAUAUAGUGCUCCUUCGUCCAUUCCCUAUCAGAAUUGGACUAGGAUUCAAAGACAUACAAACCAUAAAGAUUCAUGAGACUUUAUAAAGUUCCAACACAAAGUUCUUUUCCAAAACCAAUUGGAACUUCUCUCAAGACUGCAUUCCUUAUCAGAUUUAGACUUCUUUAUAAUAUCAAUUAUCCCAAGACUUAUAAGAAUCAUACUCAUACUCUUACAUUCUCCCACUUGAGUAUGAUUCAUCACAACAGAUAAUCAUCUCAAAUUAUAAAGGUGAUCAGAUAAGUCAUUCACCAUCACACUAGUACAUAGACACAACCUGCUUACAUAAACCAAAACAAUGAAUUUAUAAUUGCCUAUGCAACACAAAAUACAGAUUUAACUUACAAAUCACAAUGUCCAGUUUAUGUUCAUAGCAAUGUAUCUAAGCUCAAAUUUAUAUAAAAAUUACCAAAUGUUUUGGAUAAAAGCUUAUCCUCACAUACAACUUACCUAUGCAUUUUACCAAACCAAUUUGCUCCCACUUAUCUAGGCCAUACUUAACACAAACAAGUUAAGUAUAAGUUAAUAUCAACUGUAUUAACUAACAGUCAUUGCAAUACACUGAAUGUCUUAUUAAUGUGAUCAAUUGCCGCAACCAAUACGCAAACAAAUUCCAUGAUCACAUUCAUCCAAUUCGUAUUUACAACAAUGUGAUUUUACUUGACCAGAGCAAACACAUAAAUUGAUUUGCUCCCACUAUAUCAAGUUAAGUUUAGUUCCAGCAAAUAGCACUAAACUUCUCAUUACUUAAACAAAUUAAGUAACAUAAAUAAUUACCAAUUGCUUCAAUAAAACCAUAAUCUGGUUUUCAAGCAUCCAUAUGAAUUAUAAUGGCUGGCUUAAAUACUCUUAGCCUUAUGCUUAUAUUCGAACAUACGAUUCUCCCACUUAAGCAUAAGGAGAAUAUACUGCACAGUCAAUAAAGAAAUCGGAGAUAUGAACCAAUUGGUUCCCGAUUCCUUACCUAUUGCAUAAUCUCAGUUUAGUUAUAUACACCUAAACCAUUAUACAAAACAGUCUAUGUAUCAAAAGAUAGUCACAAUCCAUUCGGAAAAACUUAUCUCACAUAAACUCAAAAUCACUAGUUUCAACAAUGAUCAAAAUCAGAAUAGCAAGCACAAUAUUUUUGCAUUCAAUUUGAUCUUAACUAGUUCAAUAUCCAUCGAGCAAGAUCAACCAAAAUUUGAUAAUGUUUGGAUAUAUAUGACAACAAUAUAUCUUGAUUAAAACGAGAUAAUCAAGACUACUAUUUCUUCUGGAGAACUCGAAGUUCAUCUUUCUCCUUAUUUGUGAUUUCAACCAAAAUAUAAUAGCGGAAGCAUGCAUCAUGAAAUCACAAAUAUACAUAUACAAUAAGCAUGCAUCGAUAUAUAUACAUGAUAAGAUUAGUCGACAAUAAUCCAGAUUAAAAAUCUUCAUGCCUUUAAUUCAUUGUCAACACCAUCAUCAAUUAUAUACAGAUUCGUAAGCAAGUCCUUGGAGAAAUAAUGAUAACUGCAUAUCAUUAGUCUUAUGAAUUUCCAAUAAGAUGACAAAUAAUUAUUUGUUUUCCGAUUCAUAAUAGAAUAUAUAUUUUGUAAAUGGCUAAAAGUUUAUUGUCACAAGACUCAUUAUAGGCGGUCAAUAAAACAUCUACCUUAUAUAUUCAUUUGUUCAUAUAUUUUCUUGUAUGCUUGCAUCAAUAUUCAGAGAAACUUAUGCAAGUUCUAUUUGAUAUAGAUAAAGCCGCAUGCCCAUAAUUACAACAUCUAUGCAUGAAUGCUAUCUAGAUAUGAAUACAAAUUUAAUUCAUAUAUGCGAUUUAUGUAUAAGUCACAAAGCAAUUGGCAUCCAUUUUAUAUAUGCAUUCCAUGUUGUUGCUUUAUAUUGCUUGCCGACUUGCACAUGAUAUGCAGUCAAAUCCAUUCCAACCCAAACUUGAUAUAAAUCAAACCAAUUGAAAAUCAGGAAUUGACAAUAAGAUGUGCACUUGUGCUGCUCCCCGCAAUUAAAUGUAUUGAGAUUCAUACAUGAAACAAUGCAUAUACACAGACUCUUUAAUGAAAAAUGGAAAAGUAUAUCUAGACAAAUUUGUUUAUGCAGCAAAGUAUGAUUCCAGACAUCUCACAUAAAUCACAAGUUGGCAUCUAUAGGGAUUUCGAGUUUAAUCAUGCCUUUACAAUUUAUAUAAAUAAACAAGCAUACUCGAAAUAGCAAAAGACCUAAUCAUUAUGCUCCAACUCAUCACACUAUAAUCAUGCAUAUAGGAGAACAAUUAAUCACGCAUGAAACAGUGAAGUGAGUUACAUGAAUGCAUCAUUGGACUCGUAUUCGUCAACCAAUUGCAAUUCCUCGACUCCAAAUUAACGAAAUUACUUAUCCAUCAGUGCUCGAGAAUCGUCCAUGCGGAUUGUCAUCACUCCAAAUUCCCAUGCGGAUUGCCAUCAUAAUCAACACAGCGGAAACAAGAAUUUUGAAAAUCAGAAUUACGAUGUUUAUGAGAGAUGUAUACUGAUAAAUUACUAUACUUAUCACCAAAUAAGCAAACAUGAAAAAGUUCUCUCAACCCCAGAUUGAGAAACACGGUUUCAGAAUAAGUAACUAAUCUUGACACCAAUUCCAUUUAACUCAAUCUAAAUGUUAAACAAAAUUCAAGAAAUUGCAAUAAGAUUUCAAAAUACAUACCCUUUUAUGAAUGGUUUCAGGAUCGUAUCAAUCUUAGCAUCAAUCAUGUAUAAAGAUUGCAGUAUUGUAUAUAUUACAUCAGGAGUUUUGUAUGUAUCAAGGAUCAAAAUUCGAUAAACUUGAUAUAAUACAUCAGGAGUUUUGAAUUAUAAACAUACCUUUGGGAACAAAAGAAAAAUAUAUAUUAUCGCAAAUCCAAAUCUUAAACAAAGAUGGUUGUGAACGAGAAGAUCUAGAAGCAAAGCAUGUUUGGAUCAUCACAACUUCAAACCAAGAAGAGAAAAAAGGUGCAAACCCAGAAAAUUUCGUACAAGGUUAUGAGUUUUGCCAAUAUUCAAUUUAAACAAGGUUAUACGUUUUCUAGGUUUGGAACGUUUAAGUGUUCAUAGCUUUUCCAUCAGAUUCUUGUGUAAAUUUCGAACUCAAUGACAAUAAUCAACUAGGCUCUGAUACCACAUGUAAGAACUUUAACACAGAUCGAUGAUAUGCCAAUUGAAUUACCAAUGUUCUGAAACAAGUCAAGUGACAAAACUUAUGAACAAGAACAAGGAUUGCCGAGAACAUACCUGCAUAAUUUGAACUUGAAGAAACCAUAACAGCCUCUGUGUUCAAAACCUUCUCCUCUUUUACGAUCACAAUAGCUUUUCUAAUCAAUAGGACUUAGAACAACAUAAGCUAAUAUCGCAAGAGCAGUGGUUUGAACCAUAAAUAUAUAGUGCUCCUUCGUCCAUUCCCUAUCAGAAUUGGACUAGGAUUCAAAGACAUACAAACCAUAAAGAUUCAUGAGACUUUAUAAAGUUCCAACACAAAGUUCUUUUCCAAAACCAAUUGGAACUUCUCUCAAGACUGCAUUCCUUAUCAGAUUUAGACUUCUUUAUAAUAUCAAUUAUCCCAAGACUUAUAAGAAUCAUACUCAUACUCUUACAGGGAUGAGAUAAGGAAUGGGACCCUGACAAAGACUGGUAAUAGUAUUAGUAAUUAGUCUUCGGUAGUUCAAAGACGACCGUGGAACCAAGUUUGAAUGCACUCCUCCCCUUUUUUUUAUUCUUGAAUUAAAAAAAUCAAAAAGGAAAAUUAAUAGGUUGAAAUAAAAAUAUAAAAAAAGUACAAAAGAAGGAAACGGUGUGAAGAAAGUCCCUCUACAAUACGUAAUACUUUUGUUACAUUUUUGAAAGUCAAUUGCAUGUUGCCGUGCAUUUUAAUUUUUGAGUAUAGAAUACUUGAUAUAUUGUCAAUUAAUCAUCCGUAUUUUGUCAAUUAGUGUCUGGUACCUAUGGAUCCUUUAAUCUGGACCGUACAACUAACAGUCCUGAUUUGAUUUGCACAUCAAUCAAUGGUCCAAAUUAAAGGAUCUAUAAGCUCCAUAACGAAUCCAAUUCCUAAAAAAUUUGAUCGUAUAAUGAAUAAUGAAUGUACCAAACUCCCACAAAGAAGAUCCGGAGAGAAUCCUCUUCCUAUCAUGUCGAUAUCGUGGAGCAAAAGGUAACAGUCAGCAAACGAAGUUGAUAGGAUAGGGGUACUGUGAUUGAUACAAGUGCAAAGACGACGAGGGAUAAAGUGAUACUUUCGUGCUAGUUCCGAGGACAUUUUGGUAACUAAGCCAUAUUUAGUACUCUUUUUUGGUGUCGUAUCAUUCUCUCUCUCAAAGAUUAAUUAUAAGAGAACUUUAACAAAAAGCUUCAUGUAUUAUUUAUUUUAAUAAAAAAUUAUAUUUUUACACUAAAAAGUUAAUUAUGGUAUUAUUCACUUUAGUUUUUUUUUUAUAGUUAAAACUCAAAGUUUUCAAGUAUUUUUUAUUAAUUUUCCUUAAUUAUGAUUUACAAAUAGUAGCUGAAAUGGGUCUCUUUUUUCUUUAUAUGCAAUUGUAUUUCAUUACUUCUUUUGUCUUUUUCUUCAGCACUGAAAAAAAAAAAAGAAAAUUGCUUUCAUACAUCAUUUCUCAUUUUAUCACACUUUUGUUUUGUUGUAUUUAGAUUGAAAUCACUAGCGACAAAAAUUGUCCGAAUGGAAUCGUUUUAGUUGUUCCCGACUAAUAUAAAAGUCCUAACAAAGACCGACAAGAGCAACGUGGGGCUGGUAAAAAAAAGUUGAGUCAAAAUCGCUACCCAGAAAAUUGUCCGGAAAGAAUCUUUUUAUAGCUGUUCCCAUCUGUCUAGUUUGAUGAAUGGAAGUUCCGAGGAAGGUUGCUUUGCUUUAACUUUAUCACGUUCACAUUGAAGGUGGUAGGAAACUGCUGCUUCACAUUGAAGGCAGAAAAUCAUGCGAAAGGCCUGAUAUAUAACAAGAACGAAUUCUUGGUGCAAGUACCAGUCCAGCAUCCAUACUCAAUUCUUUGAAAGGCCCUUACCUAGAUUUCUCCAAUGAACAAUCAACUUGUCUCUUCUUCUUCCUUCAGCAGUCCUCCUUUGUGGAAGUACGAUGUCUUUUUGAGCUUUAGAGGAGAGGAUACACGAACCAAUUUUACAGAUCAUUUUUACAAGGCGUUGGACGGCAAGGCAAUCACCACGUUCAUUGAUCACCAACUUAAAAGAGGAGAAGGAAUAUCUCAGGCUCUUCUCGAAGCAAUUGAUGAGUCGAGAAUUUCGAUCAUUAUAUUAUCUAAAAACUAUGCAUCUUCAAGAUGGUGCUUGGAAGAGCUCGUACGUAUCCUUGAAUGUAGAAAGUCAAGGAAGCAAAUUGUUUUGCCAGUUUUUUACAAAGUGGAUCCGUCCGAUGUACGAAAGCAAACGAGUAGUUUGGUGACGCGUUUACAGAAAAGUUCAAAUUCGAAGACAACAAGGAGAAGAUCCUCACAUGGAGGAGUGCUCUUACAGACGCAGCAAAUUUAUCAGGAUAUACUUUCAAAGAGGGAGAGUACGUAUAUUUCUUCCCCUUAUACUGCCUUUAAUCUGAAAAGAUGACUUUACCUGAAAUUCAAUUUUCUUUACAUAAAACCCAACCUAGUUUUUGUGCUUGACUAAUUAAGCUUAACAAGUUACAUUUUAUAUCUUUUGGUUUCCUAAAAUACCCCUAAUAACAAUUUGAUUCUCUAGCAUAUUUAUAUCCAUUUAUUGUGUUAAACCUAUUGCAAGUUUAACUGGUCACUAGUACUCAUUGUGUUAAAUUUCGAAUUGGCUGGAUUAAUUACCCGAGUGUACCCAUUUUUUGUUGUUCAAAUUUUAAAUUUAUUAAUAUUUUUUGGUUUCCUAAUUUUGUUUGAAAAAUCAAUUUACCUACGUUUUUGAAAAAUUAACUUACAAAUUACUGAUUUUGAUUAAUAAUGUACCUAUGGUGUUGUUUUAUAAUUUACCGAUUACUAAUGAUGUUAGGUAAAUUAGUACUUUUAGGAAAGAAAUGAUACAUAUCCAUACAAAACAUCUUUUUUCAUCCGAACAACAACAUAACAUUUAAAUGCAAAAAAAAAGGUCCAUGUCUUAUGGAAAGAUGUUAGGAUUUUACAGAGUAAUAAACGGCAAUGUGAAAUUGUGAAUAAUGGAAUAGGGGUAAAUCAUUUUAUUAAUGGGUCAAUUAUUAUCUUACAUGAUUCUGUAUUUAGUUGCAAGCGGCACAUGCUUGACUGUAUCAGUGAUUAUCCAUACCUCUGUUUUUUUUCAAUCUUUUUUAUCUUUUCAUUCUCUUCUUCUUUUUACCUUUUUUUCUUUUUUCAAAGAAAUAUAGCAUAAAAAGUUGAUUGACUAAAUGUGUCAAUUUUUUUAUAUAAACUGGUAGGUAUGAAGCUACAUUUAUCAGUAAGAUCGUGGAGGAGAUCUUCGUCCCCGUACAACAAUGCACGCAUUUGAAGGUAGCCAAUUACCCAGUUGGAAUGGAGUCUUGUGUAGAAAAGGUGAAAGAGCUUUUAGGUGUCAGGGGAAAUGAUCCGUGUGUGGUUGGGAUUUGGGGGUCAUUUGGAAUCGGCAAGACAACAGUUGCAAAAGCUGUUUAUAAUGCAAUUGCUUAUGAGUUUGAAGGUAGUUGUUUCCUGGCAGAUGUUCGAGAAACGUCAAUACAAUACAGAGGCCUACUCCAACUACAAAACACUCUUCUGAGUGAGAUUGGUGGUUCAGAGUGGAAAGCUGUCAAUCUUCAUAGAGGAAACAUCCUUAUAAAGAAACUGUUGAGGGGAAAGAAGAUUCUCUUAAUUCUUGAUGAUGUGGAUGAUUUUGAGCAGUUAGACAACUUGGUUGAAGUCCAUCAGUUAGGUGAGGGUAGCAGAGUGAUCAUAACCACAAAAAAUAAAGGAUUGCUGGAAUCUUGUAAAGUUGAGCUGAUAUACAAGGUCCAAAAGUUAGAAGACAACAAAGCUAUUGAGCUUUUUAGUUGGAAUGCCUUCGGAAAAGAAAAACCUCCAGAUGAUUAUUUGGGACUCGCACGACGUGCAAUAGCCUAUGCUCAAGGCCUCCCGUUAGCUCUUAAUCUUAUAGGUUCUCAUCUGCGUGGUAAAAAUAUAGUUCGUUGGCAAGAUAUUUUGGAUAGUUACGAUGAAGAACCUCAUAGAGGGAUUCAAAGAGUACUUCGGAAAAGUUAUGAUACCUUGGAAUAUGUCCAACAACAACUUUUCCUAGACAUUGCAUGCUUCUUCAAGGGUGAAGAUAAAGACAAAGUGUUACAGAUAUUAAAAGGAUCAAAUCUCAAAGUACGUCAACAUUGUAUUGAUGUUCUCGUUGAGAAUGCCAUUAUAACUAUUGAACAUAAUAGGAUUUUGAUGCAUGACUUGCUAGAACAAAUGGGUAAGCAUAUAGUUUGGGAAGAAUCGCCCACUGAACCAGACAAGCGGAGCAGAUUGUGGCUUCCUAAAGAUGUGUACCGUGUUCUAACUGAAAACAGAGUAAGUAGAAUAUAUGUUCUUGCAUUUGAUUUAAUUGGCAUGAUUUUGGAAACACAAAAAAAAUUAAAAUCCUUUUGAUUUCUUUGUUAUAUGAUUUGUUUGUUAACACUAUUUAUUUUUCCAUCUUAGGGAACAAAGAAAAUUAAAGGCAUUGUGGUGAAGUUGCCCGUGCCAGAUGUGAUACCCUUGAAUACAAAAAGCUUUUCCAAGAUGGUAAAUCUUGAAUUUUUUAUAAUUCGUAAUGCACACUUUUCUGAAUGCGUUGAGGAUUUACCCGACGAUUUGAGGUGGAUUGAAUUCGGUGGGCUUCAUUACUGGGGAUCCAAUAUUCUUCAAAAGCAUAUACUUACAUUCAAUUUGCAAUCCAAUUGUCAUAUCAGAAAUCUUGUCACGUUUAUUAUGCCAAACAGUGACAUCAAACAAUUGAAGGUGUUUCAGGUAUGUAUACUUAUUAUAAAUGAAUUUGGACAAUUACUAAUUUAAUUGUAUAUUUUAUUUUUGGAAAAAGAAAUUUGCCAAAGCUUUUCAUUGUUAAUUAUUCUAUUUAAAGUUUGUGAUUUUUUUUUCUUUUGAUUUUGAUUUCACAGAUUUGGCAAUGCUUACAUCUUUGAAUUUAAGUGGUUCCCAAUUCUUAGAAAAAAUUCCCAACUUAUCCGGAAGUCCAAACCUAAAGAAGUUGAUUCUAAAUGAGUGUAACCGUUUAGUUGAAGUUGAUGAUUCUGUUGGAUUCCUUGAUAAACUUAAUAGAUUAAGUCUUAAUGGGUGCUCUAGGCUUGAGAGAUUUGCGACGAGACUUAGAUUGAGAUCCCUUCGUAGACUUACUCUUUAUGGUUGUACAAGGCUCAAGAGUUUCCCAGAAAUAGAGGCCGAGAUGGAAUCUCUAUAUGAUUUGGACAUAUCAAAAAGUGGCAUAAGAGAAUUGCCUUCAUCAAUUGCAUAUCUUACCGGGCUUAAAUUUUUGUCGGCAAGUUAUUGUGAGAACCUUACAGGUACAUCCUUACAUCACAGUUAUGGGUUGCAACAUCUCUACCGUAUUGAAAUGAUUAGAUGCCCAAAACUGGUGACAUUUGGGAAGUUUUCAACUCGCUUAGACACUUCACAUUACAACGGUAUCCCAUUAGCCAUUUUCAACGCAUGCAAGCUUUAUCUUGUUGAAUGCAAUUUAUCAGAAAGUGAUUUCCUUGUGCCUCUUCAAUAUGAACCAUCCAGUCUUCAUUGCUGGUCCACAUUAAUAGAACUUGGUCUGUCGGGAAACAAUUUUGUUAGUCUUCCGGAAUGCAUUAGCAAAUUUGUCAACUUGGAAAUACUUUGGUUGACUGGUUGCAAGAGGCUUCGGGAAAUUCCACAUGCCCUUCCACCAAAUCUAAGGGAAUUAUAUCUGAAUGAUUGCACAUCAUUGGAGAAAAUUCCAAAGUUGCCCUCGGGGCUUAGGUGUCUGCAGUUGACUAAUUGCUUUGGACUAAGUGGCGAUGAGGUGGCAAAGUUGGAAAAUAAUUUGUUGAACUGGAAUCAGGUUCGUCUCUCCUCUCUUAAUUUCUCUUGAAAUUAAAAUAUUUAAUUUGUUGAUACUUGGGAGGGAGAACAGAUCAUGAUUGUUUGUAGUUAUUUACGUAUUAUUCACUAUUGCAGGAAUUUCUUCGGUGCUCUCAAUUGCAAGUUACGUAUCCAGGCGAUGAAAUUCCAAAGCGGUUUAGCUAUACCUCUAAACAUCUAACAGCCACUAGGAUUGAAAGUGUAGGAAAAGGUACAAGGCAACAUGAUUAUGUUGGAGGUGGUGAAUUUAGUUUUGAAAUUUCUCUAAAUUUACAGGAGAGGGAGACGUUAUUAGGAUUGGCUCUAUCUUGUGUUUUUCCACCACAAUUGACUGGAGGGAUUUGUUAUUACUACAAUCUUCGUCUUUACAUCAACGAAGCAAGUGAUUAUCAACAAUUUAGGUGGAUAGUGGAAGGCAAGGAGGCUCAUGUGGGGCUAGUGUUAGUGGAUUUAGAGAACCAGGGAGAAAGCCCAUGUGGGGCUCAUGUUAGUGGAGAUAUUUGUAAAGUUAAAGUUCAAUAUCCCAACUACUCGAGCAUUAAAAGCUGCGGGGUGCAGCCCCUAUUGCGCAAAGGAGAUGAACGGCUUCCCUCGUCUUUGGAACCAACGAGUAGCCUUGGAUCCUCAGAUAUCGUCAAUGAUGAAUAUGAUCGGCAACAACAAUGGCCUUCCUUAUCUUUGAACCCAGCGGAUGAUCAUCCGACACACACACAGAUUGAUCACAAUGUUCCUUCUGAUAUUGAGGAGGAGCAAGAGCAACCGUCCACCAUUUCUGAUUUACUAGGAGUUUGGGUACGUACAUUUCAGUUUUAGCCAUUUUUUUAUUAUUCUUUAUUGUGAUAUCUUUUUUAAAUUAAUAUAAUAAUAAUUAAUUAAUUUAAAUUAAAUAAAGGAAAAAAUUUGAACAGUUUGCAAUCUGCAUAAUCAAAGAUUUCAUAUCUUUAGAAACAAAGAUUUCAUAUCUGCAGGUGGUUAGGCCAUCUCCAACCGAUAGCUGGUCAGAGGGUUCGUUUUAACCAUCUGGCCCUCCAAGAUUCUUCAAGAUAUUAAUAUUUUAAUGAACAGUACAUGACCAUAUUUGCCUCCGUCUCCAACCGAGGGUCAUAGGGCCAAACAUAAUUUAUUAUUUAAAAACUACAACUUAAAUUCAAAUCCAACGGCUAAGUGACAAAUUUAAUUUAAUGUUGUUUCAUGUUACUUAAUUUAAUUUAAUGUUGUAUAAUGGCUUAGGAAGUUAUAGGAAAAAAAUAGAAUUUAAAAAAAAUAUGAAACAAAUUUUGUGAAAUAGAAGUUAUAGAAAAAAAUGGAGUUUAAAAAAAAAUAUGAAACAAGUUUUGUGAAAUAAAAGUUAUAGGAAAAAAAAUAGAAUUUAAAAAAAAUAUGAAACAAAUUUUGUGAAAUAGAAGUUACAGGAAAAAAAUGGAAUUUAAAAAAAAUAUGAAAUAAAUUUUGUGAAAUAGAAGUUAAAGGAAAAAAUUGAAGUUGUAUGAAAUUUUUUGUGAAAUAGAAGUUAUAGGAAAAAAUAGAAGUUAUAGAAAGUUAUAGGAAAAAAUAGAAGUUAUAUGAAAAUUUUUGUAAAUAAAAAAUAAUAAUAAAAAUGUAAAAAAAAAUAUAUAUCAAAUGAAACCCAACGGCUAGCUGAGUCAGCUAGCCGUUAUAUUAAAAAAAAUUCCAAACUAUUAGUGUCGGUUAUAAUUGACACUAAUAGUAAAUAAAUAAAAAAAUUUGCCUAUGAAUACCUAUUACUGUCGGUUAUAACCCACAGUAUUAAAAAAUUCUUCUUUAAUGUUGUCGGUUAUAUCUGACAGCAAUAGGGAAACUAUAAAAAAAAAAAUAGCCAGCCCGGGGCUGGCUGGCCGAAAGCAGCCAGCCCUUUGGCCCUUUGAAAUUCCGUGGGGCCCUCCCAGAUUCCAGAGCCCUCGGUUGGAGACGGUUUUAGGGCUAUUUUCGGCCCUCUGGCCCUCUGGACCCUUCGGUUGGAGAUGGCCUUAGUUCUUAGAAAAACAGAAACCACAUUUGUGUCUUGAUGUACCUUUUACUGAUAAAAUCAAAUUCUAAUUAAUCAAAACAAACAAUUAUGGAAGGAAAAUAUACAAGGGGAAAUGAGAUUAUAAGUACAAAAUUCAAGAUUAAUUACCUAAAAACUUGGUUUUGUUCGUAUAAGUACAAAAUUUCUACACGAAGAUCAAAGAACUACAUCGUUUGGAUGAACAUGUAAACCACAUGCUUCUCUCUCUGUUAAUUAAGUUUACACGCAGAGAUGGAAGUCUUGUAGGACUACUGUUUAAUCAAGAGUCCCAGGUUUGCAACUAUUUUUUUAUUAGCAUUUACUUCUGCUUUUUUAAUUAAUGAAUAGGUGGAAAUUUGAUUCGGUGUUGAUUAUAAGAUUUAGUAGAAUUUUAAUAUCAAGAGGAGAUAACAAUGUAGAAAACAUAGCCCCUUGAAUCAACUUGAUUGAUCUCGACCCUCAUGAUCUCACGGGUCUCGGCCUGCUUCGGUUGUUUAAAUUUCUGGUGUAAGCCAAGAAAGUGAACUCAUUAAUGUUGCUGCUCUAGUUAGUCAGCCUGCUUUUUCUGACAAGCCUGCGGUCUCUUUAUGUUCCACCAUGGGAAGCUGGGAGUGAAGCGUGCAUUAGUUGUUGGAAUUGGACUUCAAAUUCUUCAACAGGUUUGGUAGAAAAAGUUAAAAGGAAAAUUUUAUUUAAAACCAUGUAACUUUUUUUCUACACUCCUCAGGUGUAUGAGCAGGCCCGCGUCGCCAUUCUUCUAUCUAACAUAGGGUUGAAUCCAACAUUUGCAUCUCUCUUCGUAAGUGCCAUUACAAUUGUCUUAAUGGAUAUAGCUGGCAGAAGAUAAUUUCGAACACCUUCGGUUUCCUAGAACCGAUUACUAACUUUUAAUCAAAAUUAUAACUAGGGUAAAUUAUCCAAACGAUAAAAUAAAGUUUAGUGUCACUCCAUUUCCAUUUUAGACUAAAAGUUUGUAACCGGUUCUAUCUAUAUGCAUAUUUGCAAAAAAUAAGCUUUCCUUUUUGCCUUUCUUGGUAUGCCGGUCGCUGCUGCUCUCCACAUUACAUUGUCCCUCACUCUUCUUGUAGUUGCCAACAUUGUCAACUUGGGAACUGUUCUGAAUGCAACAAUUUCCACCGCCGUGCCUGCUGCUUCGUCAUGGCAUUUGGAGUAACCCCGAACAUUCUCUGCGCUGAGAUCAUCCCUACGAGCAUCCACGACCUCUGCAUUGCCAUCUGAGCCCUCACAUUCUGGAUUGGAGACAUCAUCAUCACUUACGCAUUUCCUGUCAUGCUCUUCUCCGUUGGAUUUGCUGGCAUCUUGGGAAUCUAUGUUGUCCGGUGCAUUGUUCCUGGAUAUUUGUUUACUUGAAGGUGCCUGAAACUAAAGACAUGCCUCUUGAAGUUAGCUGCUGCUGAUGCAUCUGUUGGAUUCCAAUGAUAACUGAUUUGAUUGUUCAGAGGAUUUGAAAGUUUGGUUUGGCUUUAGACUGGGAUUACGAGGACAGGAUUUGAGUUGGAAAAAGUGCUGAUGACUGGAUUGCAUUUUUAGAAAGUGAUUUUGUAAUCAUCACUAUCCCUCACUUAAUUCUGCACCAGUAUCUUUGGUACCAAAAAAUCAAUUCUCUUGGGUCAUAAGCUCAUAAGUGACAUGUUUUGUUCGACUAUUUGCCUCACUUAAUAUUAAUUUGACCUGCCUACUUUAACUAUUUAUUUAUACAAAUAUUUGUACUAUCUUUCUAAUAGAGAUAAGACGUAUAUAUAUUUGCGAGCCGUACUUCUAUUAGAAAAAUUAUAUGUAAAUAGAUGAUAAAUGUAGCAUUACUAUUUUUAUAAUAUGUUUUAAAAUUUUGAAAAAAAAAAAAAAGGAACUGUUUUUAACUGCAGGCCUAAAGCAGAGCCCUGUUGCCGCCUAGCAAUAGAAAAGUCUUCACCAAAUUGAGUUAGAAGAAUUAGGGUUUUAGAGCUCCAAAGAUCCAAACUUUAUCAGUCUCUCCGAAAGUAAUUAGAGAAAUGGAAACCCAAUCAAAGGACGGAGACUCUCUGGAGAAGCGGCCCGGCAUCUUCUUCCUCGGCUCCCCCGGCGUCGUCGAACGCUCUCUCAUUUCCCGUAUGCUCUCUAUCUUUCUCUCUCCUUUGGUCGAUGCUAAAUUCAUGACCUCUUGAUUUCUAGGCUUACUGGAUUUGAAUUUUUGACGAUGCUUCUGAUUAUUCAUCGUCAUCUCAGCUGGUAGUUGAUGGGUAUGUAAAAUUUGAAUUUUGGGAUCAAAGAAUUCAACUCUUAGAAAUUUUGGGAACAAACAAUUCGUUUUGAAUUCUUUUGAAAUGUGUAUUUUGAUGAUUUUUGUUGUAAAGAAAUAGAUGGAAUAUCUCUACAAAUUACUACACAGCUGGUGUUUUGGUAUGGAUGGCUCAUCUCCAUGACGAAUUUUUUGCAGAGGCCCUCCCAAUGUAUGAGCAGUUGGCUGCCUUGAUCUUGGUUUUCGACACAACUGAGGUUUUGGUCUCUUGCCACUCACUCUUUGUCACUUUGUUUACUUGUUUAUCAUGAUUUUCAAUGUGUCUUAUAUCAAUUUGCUCUCAUUAUGCUGCAGUUGUCGUCUCUGUCUGCGCUUAAGAAAUGGGUAUCUCAAACUGAUCUUCAAAAGUUCGAUAUACUAGUAUGCGUAGGGAAUAAGGUUGAUCGUGUUCCGGGUCACCCGGUUCAUGCCGAAUAUAGAAGACGACUGCAGAAGCUUGGAGACCCGUUUGCUGAUGCCGGUCCAGGGUUCACUGCGUAGGGAAUCUCCGAGACUGAAGGAAGCAGGUUUAUUGGGGGAUGACGAACCAUUUUGGGAGGCAAGGCACACAUGUUUGGAAUGGUGCACUGAGCAUAACAUUGAGUUCGUCGAAGGUUGUGCUUCAAAUGCUGAUUUUGACAGAUGUAAGGUAGCCCUUCUUUCUGACUUGUAGUUUAUGGCAAGUUUUAUACGAACGUGAAAAAUAAAAAGUAUGCUGCUCGAGGGUAGAAACGUCGUGCAAUUAGGAUGAUUGAAGAUAGAUCGAAGGUAGCCCUUCUUUUUGGCUGUUCCGAUCACAUCCUUCUUGGGUAAACUAAAAGAGAAUUGACGGUAGAAAUGAAUGCACUUUGGUAUGUGUUGAAUCUUUAUCGAUCCCUCUUUUUUUAAUGUUUAACAAUUGAACUCAUUAAUAUUAAAAUAGAUAAAAAUGAUAAAAAGAGUACGAACAAAAAAAAUCUUAAAUGCUUUUGUUGCAGUCUUUCAAGUUAAUUGUGUAUUUUCAUGCAUUUUAACCUUUGUAUGUACAUAAUUGAUUUGUCAUACGGUCAUAGUAGCUUGACAUCGUUUAUGUGUCAUGGGGUGAAAAGAACAUGUGCUUCAAUAACAAACAAAAAAAAAAUGAAAAUUGUUUGAAAUUUUUGAGUUUUCAUGAUAAGGACAAAAUAAAGGAUAAAGUGAAUAGUAUCAAGAUUGACUUUUUAGUAUAAAUUAUUUUCUCAUUUGUGAUAGAAAAAAUCACCUUAAAUGACUCACCUUUCUUCAUGUAUGUGACAUUAUUUAUAUGGUUCAAAAUGACACAAACCGGAUAUAAAUAAUGUGGGGGUGUGGUUAAGGAAAAAAUGCAUUAUUACUUUGGUAACUUAGAAACCACCUAUUGUUGGUGAAACCAGAAUUUUCCUAACAUUUACUCACUGAUGUUAUCGUUUUGUAAAAAAAUAAAGAUAAACUCUGCACCUCCAUCCUUUUUUCAACGCACUGCAUAUUCCUCUGCUUUUCUCUUGUUUUUAUUUUUUUAUUUUUUUUCUCGUUACGAAAAUGAAAAUUAUCCAAAAAGAAUGGUAUUAGCUAUUCCCCAUCCUAAAUGGAAGCGUGAAGGGAUGAGAUAGGGAAUGGGACCCUGACAAAGACUGAUAAUAGUAUUAGUAAUUAGUCUUCGGUAGUUCAAAGACGACCGUGGAACCAAGUUUGAAUGCACACCUCCCUUUUUUUUUUAUUCUUGAAUUAAAAAAAUCAAAAAGGAAAAUUAAUAGGUUGAAAUAAAAAUAAAAAUUAAGUACAAAAGAAGGAAACGGUGUGAAGAAAGUCACUCUACAAUACGUAAUACUUUUGUUACAUUUUUGAAAGUCAAUUGCAUGUUGCCGUGCAUUUUAAUUUUUGAGUAUAGAAUACUUGAUAUAUUGUCAAUUAAUCAUCUGUAUUUUGUCAAUUAGUGUUUGGAGCCUAUGGAUCCUUUAAUUUGAGACGUACAAAUUGAAUUCAACCGUCUUCAUUAAUUCAUUUUCCUGACCCAUCGCACACAACUAACGGUCUUGAUUUGAUUUGCACAUCAAUCAACGGUCCAAAUUAAAGGAUCUAUAGGCUCCAGACAUUAACAUCCAAAACGGAUCCAAUUCCUAAAAAAAUUGAUCGCGUACCAAACUCCCACAAAGAGGAUCCGGAUCCUCUUCCUAUCAUGUUGAUAUCGUGGAGCAAAAGGUAAUAGUCAGCAAACGAAGUUGAUAGGAUAGGGGUACUGUGAUUGAUACAAGUGAAGACGACGAGGGAUAAAGUGAUACUUUCGUGCUAGUUCCGAGGACAUUUUGGUAACUAAGCCUUUAUAUUUACUACUCGAUUUGAUUUAUAAUUAAUACUCUUUUUGGGUGUCGUAUCGUUCUCUCUCUCAAACACUAAUUACAAUUUGCAGCUCGUAGCUGAAAUGGGGUCCCUUUUUUCUUUAUAUGCAAUUGUAUUUCAUUACUUCUCUUGUAUUUUUCCUCAGCACUGAAAAAAAAAAGGGAAAAUUGUUUUCAUACAAAAAUUGUCCGAAAGGAAUCGUUUUAGCUGUUCCCAUCUGUCUAAUAUAAAAGUCCUAACAAAGACUGACAAUAGUAACCUGGGGCUGGUAAAAAAAAGUUGUGUCAAAAUCGCUACCCAGAAAAUUGUCCGGAAGGAAUCUUUUUAUCACGUUCACAUUGAAGGUGGUAGGAAACUGCUGCUUCCUACAUGGGCAGAAAAUCAUGCGAAAGGCCUGAUAUAUACGACAAGAGCGAAUUCUUGGUGCGAGUACCAGUCCAGCAUCCAUACUCAAUUCUUUGAAAGGCUCUUCCAUUUACCUGGAUUUCUCCAAUGAACAAUCAACUUGUCUCUUCUUCUUCCUUCAGCAGUCCUCCUUCGUGGGAGUACGAUGUCUUUUUGAGCUUUAGAGGAGAGGAUACACGAACCAAUUUUACAGAUCACUUUUACAAGGCGUUGGACGACAAGGCAAUCACCACGUUCAUUGAUCACCAGCUUAAAAGAGGAGAAGAAAUAUUUCCGGCUCUUCUCGAAGCAAUUGAAGAGUCGAGAAUUUCGAUCAUUGUAUUCUCUGAAAACUAUGCAUCGUCAAGAUGGUGCUUGGAUGAGCUUGUACAUAUCCUUGAAUGUAGAAAGUCAAGGAAGCAAAUUGUUUUGCCAGUUUUUUACAAAGUGGAUCCGUCCGAUGUACGAAAGCAAACGAGUAGUUUUGGUGACGCGUUUACAGAAAAGUUCAAAUUUGAAGACAACAAGGAGAAGAUCCUCACAUGGAGGAGUGCUCUUACAGAUGCAGCAAGUUUGUCAGGAUAUACUUUCAAAGAGGGAGAGUACGUAUAUUUCUUUCCCUUAUACUGCCUUUAAUCUGAAAAGAUGAUUUCAUCUGAAAUUCAAUUUUCUUUACGUAAAACCCAACCUAGUUUUUGUGCUUGACUAAUUAAGCUUAACAAGUUAGAUUUUAUAUCUUUCGGUUUCCUAAAAUACCCCUAAUAACAAUUUGAUUCUCUUGCAUAUUUAUAUCCAUUUAUUGUGUUAAACCUAUUGCAAGUUAAAUGGUCAUUAUUAAUUGUGUUAAAUUUCGAAUUGGCUGGAUUAAUUACCCGAGUGUACCCAUUUUUUGUUGUUCAAAUUUUAAAUUUAUUAAUAUUUUUUGGUUUCCUAAUUUUGUUUGAAAAAUCAAUUUACCUACGUUUUUGAAAAAUUAAUUUACAUAUUACUUAUUUUGAUUAAUAAUGUACCUGUGGUGUUGUUUAUAAUUUACCGAUUACUAAUGAUGUUAGGUAAAUUAGUACUUUUAUGAAAGAAAUGAUACAUAUCCAUCCAAAACAUCUUUUUUCAUCCGAACAACAACAUAACAUUUAAAUGCAAAAAAAAGGUCCAUGUCUUAUUAUUAUUAUUUUAACAAAAGGAAAUAAAAAACAGUCAAUGUCCUAAGUAUGGAAAGAUGUUAGGAUUUUACAGAGUAAUAAACGGCAAUGUGAAAUUGUGAAUAAUGAAAUAGGGGUAAAUCAUUUUUAUUAAUGGGUCAAUUAUUAUCUUACAUGAUUCUGUAUUUAGUUGCAAGCGGCUCAUGCUUGACUGCAUCAGUGAUUAUCCAUACCUCUGUUUUUUUUCAAUCUUUUUUAUCUAUUCAUUCUCUUCUUCUUUUUACCUUUUUUUCUUUUUUCAAAGAAAUAUAGCAGAAAAAGUUGAUUAGCUAAAUGUGUCAAUUUUGUUAUAUAAACUGGUAGGUAUGAAGCUACAUUUAUCAGUAAGAUCGUGGAGGAGAUCUUCGUCCCCGUACAACAAUGCACGCAUUUGAAGGUAGCCAAUUACCCAGUUGGAAUGGAGUCUUGUGUAGAAAAGGUGAAAGAGCUUUUAGGUGUCAGUGGAAAUGAUCCGUGUGUGGUUGGGAUUUGGGGGUCAUCUGGAAUCGGCAAGACAACAGUUGCAAAAGCUGUUUAUAAUGCAAUUGCUUAUGAGUUUGAAGGUAGUUGUUUCCUGGCAGAUGUUCGAGAAACGUCAAUACAAUACGGAGGCCUACUCCAACUACAAAACACUCUUCUGAGUGAGAUUGGUGGUUCAGAGUGGAAAGCUGUCAAUCUUCAUAGAGGAAACAUUCUUAUAAAGAAACUGUUGAGGGGAAAGAAGAUUCUCUUAAUUCUUGAUGAUGUGGAUGAUUUUGAGCAGUUAGACAACUUGGUUGAAGUCCAUCAGUUAGGUGAGGGUAGCAGAGUGAUCAUAACCACAAAAAAUAAAGGAUUGCUAGAAUCUUGUAAAGUUGAGCUGAUAUACAAGGUCCAAAAGUUAGAAGACAACAAAGCUAUUGAGCUUUUUAGUUGGAAUGCCUUCGGAAAAGAAAAACCUCCAGAUGUUUAUUUGGGACUCGCACGACGUGCAAUAGCCUAUGCUCAAGGCCUCCCGUUAGCUCUUAAUCUUAUAGGUUCUCAUUUGCGUGGUAAAAAUAUAGUUCGUUGGCAAGAUAUUUUGGAUAGUUACAAUGAAGAACCUCAUAGAGGGAUUCAAAGAGUACUUCGGAAAAGUUAUGAUACCUUGGAAUAUGUCCAACAACAACUUUUCCUAGACAUUGCAUGCUUCUUCAAGGGUGAAGUUAAAGACAAAGUGUUACAGAUAUUAAAAGGAUCAAACCUCAAAGUACGUCAACAUUGUAUUGAUGUUCUCGUUGAGAAUGCCAUUAUAACUAUUGAAGAUAAUAGGAUUUUGAUGCAUGACUUGCUAGAACAAAUGGGUAAGCAUAUAGUUUGGGAAGAAUCGCCCACUGAACCAGGCGAGCGGAGCAGAUUGUGGCUUCCUAAAGAUGUGUACCGUGUUCUAACUAAAAACAGAGUAAGUAGAAUAUAUGUUCUUGCAUUUGAUUUAAUUGGCAUGAUUUUGGAAACACAAAAAAAAUUAAAAUCCUUUUGAUUUCUUUGUUAUAUGAUUUGUUUGUUAACACUAUUUAUUUUUCCAUCUUAGGGAACAAAGAAAAUUAAAGGCAUUGUGGUGAAGUUGCCCGUGCCAGAUGUGAUACCCUUGAAUACAAAAAGCUUUUCCAAGAUGGUAAAUCUUGAAAUUUUUAUAAUUCGUAAUGCACACUUUUCUGGAUGCGUUGAGUAUUUACCCGACGAUUUGAGGUGGAUUGAAUUCGGUGGGCUUCAUUACUGGAGAUCCAAUAUUCUUCAAAAGCAUAUACUUACAUUCAAUUUGCAAUCCAAUUGUCAUCUAAGGAAUUUUGUCACGUUUAUUAUGCCAAACAGUGACAUCAGACAAUUGAAGGUAUUUCAGGUAUGUAUAUGUAUUAUAAAUUAAUUUGGACAAUUACUAAUUUAAUUGUAUAUCUUAUUUUUGGAAAACGAAAUUUGCCAAAGCUUUUCAUCAUUAAUUAUUCUAUUUAAAGUUUGUGAUUUUUGUUUCAUUUGAUUUUGAUUUCACAGAAUUUGGCAAACCUUACAUCUUUGAAUUUAAGUGGUUCCGAAUUCUUAGAAAAAAUUCCCAACUUAUCCGGAAGUCCAAACCUAAGGGAGUUGAUUCUAGAUGAGUGUAAACGUUUAGUUGAAGUUGAUGAUUCUGUUGGAUUCCUUGAUAAACUUGUUACAUUAAGUCUUGUUGGGUGCUCUAGGCUUGAGAGAUUUGCGAGGAGACUUAGAUUGAGAUCCCUUCAAAGACUUUAUUUUGGUGGUUGUACAAGGCUCAAGAGUUUCCCAGAAAUAGAGGUCGAGAUGGAAUCCCUACGGGUUUUGAACAUAACAAAAAGUGGCAUAAGAGAAUUGCCUUCAUCAAUUGCAUAUCUUACUGGGCUUAAGCACUUGUGGGCAAUGGGUUGUGAGAACCUUACAGGUACAUCAUUACAUCACAUUUAUGGGUUGCAACGUCUCCAUUAUAUUGAAAUGAGUCGAUGCCCAAAACUGGUGACAUUUGGGAAGUUUUCAACUUGCUUAGAUACUUCACAUGACAACGGUAUCCCAUUAGCCCUUCCCAACGUAGGCUAUCUUUUUCUUAAUGGAUGCAAUUUAUCAGAAAGUGAUUUCCACGUGCCUUUUCAUUGCUUGUCCAAAUCAAUAAGAGUUUAUAUGGGGGGAAACAAUUUUGUUAGUCUACCUGAAUGCAUUAGCAAAUUUGUUAACUUGGAAGCACUUUGUUUGACUGGUUGCAAGAGGCUUCGGGAAAUUCCACAUGCCCUUCCACCAAAUCUAAGAGAUUUAUAUCUGGAUUAUUGCACAUCAUUGGAGAAAAUUCCAAAGUUGCCCUCGAGGCUUAGGUGUCUGGAGUUGACUAAUUGCUUUAGAAUAAGUGGUGAUGAGGUGGCAAAGUUGGAAAAUAAUUUGUUGAACUUGAAUCAGGUUCGUCUCUCCCCUCUUAAUUUCUCUUGAAAUUAAAAUAUAUAAUUUGUUGAUACUUGGGAGGGAGAACAGAUCACGAUUGUUUGUAAUUAGUUAUUUACAUAUUAUUCACUAUUGCAGGAAUCUCAUCGGUGCUCUCAAUUGCAAGUUACAUAUCCAGGCGAUGAAAUUCCAAAACGGUUCAGCUAUACCUCUAAACAUCUAACAGCCACUAGGAUUGAAGGUGGAAUAUAUAAUGCAUGGCAACAAGCAUAUGUUGGAGGUAGUGAAUUUAGUUUUGAAAUUCCUCUAAAUUUACAGGAGAGGGAGAUGUUAUUAGGAUUGGCUCUAUCUUGUGUUUUUCCACCACUGCCUUUAUCAGAAUUGGGAUAUCGUUACGUUAUUCGUAUUCUCAUCAACAAAGCAAGUGAUUAUAAAGAAUUUGAGUUGGAUGGGAAAUUCAUGGAGAAAGCUCAUGUGGGGCUCAUGUUAGUGGAUUUAGAAAAGAAGCAGGGAGAUAUUUGUAAAGUUAAAAUUCAAUUCCCCGAAGGGGCAGGCAUUAAAAUCUGCGGGGUGCACCCCUUAUUCCGCAAAGAAGAUGAACGACUUCCCUUGUCUUUGGGACCAACGAGUAGUCUUGGAUCCUCAGAUAUCAUCGAUGAUGAAUAUGAUUGGCAACAACAAUGGCCUUCCUUAUCUUCGAACCCAGCGGAUGAUCAUCCCAAACGCACGCAAAUUGAUCACAAUGUUCUUUCUGAUAUUGAGGAGGAGCAAGAGCAACCGUCCAUAGUUUCUUGGGUACGUACAUUUCAGUUUUAGCGAUUUUUUUAUUAUUCUUUAUUGUGAUAUCUUUUUUAAAUUAAUAUAAUAAAAAUUAAUUAAUUUAAAUUAAAUACAGGAAAAAAUUUGAACAAUUUUCAAUCUGCAUAAUCAAUGAUUUCAUAUCUUUAGAAACAAAGAUUUCAUAUCUGUAGGUGGUUAGGCCAUCUCCAAUCGGGUCCAGAGAAUCAGAAGGCCGAAAAUAACCCGAAAACCAUCUCUAAUCGAGGACUAGGCCAGAGGGCCAACCAGCUGGCCAUCUUCAACCAGCCAACCAGCCCACUUGCUAGCCCAUUUUGUCUUCUUUUUUUUGUUUUUUCAGCCCACUUUAGGUUUAAGGAUUAGGAAUUUUUUUUGUCCCAGUUCCUUUUUUUUUUUUUUAACAUCCCAAUUUUUUUUGGACGAUUUUUUUGUUUAAAUUUCUAAUUUUUUUCCUACACCAUUUCUCACAUAUUUUUCAUCAUUCCAUACUAUCUUAUCUUAUUUUAUUUUAAUUCUUCACAUUCCAUACUAUAGCCCUUUGGCCCUUGGUUGGAGAUGGUUUUUUUGUGACAUGACUAAAACGAGCUCUCUGGUCCUUUGGCCUCUGGUUGGAGAUGAAGGCAAAUAUGGUCAUGUACUGUUCAUUAAAAUAUUAAUAUCUUGGAAGGCCAGAGGGCUAAAACGAGCCCUCUGGCCAACCUUCGGUUGGAGAUGACCUUAGUUAUUAGAAAAACAUAAACCACAUUUGUAUCUUGAAGUACCUUUCACUGAUAAAAUCAAAUUCUAAUUAAUCAAAACAAACAAUUAUGGAAGGAAAAUAUACAAGGAGAAAUGAGAUUCUAAGUACAAAAUUCAAGAUUAAUUACCUAAAAACUUGGUUUUGUUCAUAUAAGUACAAAAUUUCUACACGAAGAUCAAAGAACUACAUUGUUUGGAUGAACAUGUAAACCACAUGCUUCUCUCUCUGUUAAUCAAGUUUACACGCAGAGAUGGAAGACUUGUAGGACUACUGUUUAAUCAAGAGUCAAGGUUUGCAACUAUUUUUUUAUUAGCAUUUACUUCUGCUUUUUCAAUGAAUGAAUAGGUGGAAAAUUUGAUUUGGUGUUGAUUAAUAAGAUUUAGUAGAAUUUUAAUAUCAAGAGGAGAUAACAAUGUAAAAAACAUAGCCGCUUGAAUCAACUUGAUUGAUCUCGACCCUCAUAAUCUCACAGGUCUCGGCCUGCGUCGGUUGUUUAAAUUUCUGGUGUAAGCCAAGAAAGUGAACUCAUUAUACUGCUGCUCUAGUUACUAGUUAGUCAGCCUACUGUUUCUGCCAAGGAACCGAUAAGUCUGCGCUCUCUUUGUGUUCCACCAUCGGAAGCUGGGAGUGAAGCGUGCUGCGUGCAUUAGUUGUUGGAAUUGGACUUCAAAUUCUUCAACAGGUUUGGUAGAAAAAGUUAAAAAGGGAAAUUUUAUUUAAACCCAUGUAACUUUUUUUCUGCACUCCUCAGGUGUAUGAGCAGGCCGGCGUCGCCGUUCUUCUAUCUAACAUAGGGUUGAAUCCGACAUCUGCUUCUCUCUUCGUAAGUGUCAUUACAACUUUCUUAAUGGAUAUAACUGGCAGAAGAUAAUUUCGAACACAUUCGGUUUCCUAGAACCAAUUACUAACUUUUAAUCAAAAUUAUAAUUAGGGUACACUAUACAAACGAUAAAUUACAGUUUAGUGUCCCUUAUGGUUUAUUUAGUGUCCCUCCAGUUUCAAUUUAGACUAAAAAUUUGUAACCGAUUUUAUCUGCAUAUUUGCGGAAAAUAAGCUUUCCUUUUUGCCUUUCUUGGUAUGCAGGUCGCUGCUGCUCUCCACAUUAUAUUGUCCCUCACUCUUCUUGUAGUUGCCAACAUUGUCAACUUGGGAACUGUUCUGAAUGCAACAAUCUCCACCGCCGUGCUUGCUGCUUUGUCAUGGCAUUUGGAGUAACCCCGAACAUUCUCUGCGCAUAGAUCAUCCCAACGAGCAUCGGAGCAUCCACGGCCUCUGCAUUGCCAUCUGUGCCCUCACAUUCUGGAUUGGAGACAUCAUCAUCACUUACGCAUUUCCUGUCAUGCUCUCCUCCGUUGGAUUUGCUGGCAUCUUGGGAAUCUAUGUUGUCGGGUGCAUCGUUCCUGGAUAUUUGUUUACUUGAAGGUGCCUGAAACUAAAGGCAUGCCUCUUGAAGUUAGCUGCUGCUGAUGCAUGUGUUGGAUUCCAAUGAUGACUGAUUUGAUUGUUUAGGGGGUUUGAAAGUUUGGUUUGGCUUUAGAGCAUCUCUAAAGGAGAUGUCAAAAGAUAAAUUUUAAAUGUUAAUUUGAUGGUUGACGUGACAAUGUCAGAUUUUCUCUACUUCCCACCGAUAUGUUUUUUUGUUAUAAAUGAUGUUUGUAGGACCCAUAUUAAAAAAAAUCAAUUAAAAUAUAUUUCGAAGAUCUAUAAUUGGUGCAUUAAUGGGAUCCACAUAAUAAAAUAAUAAAAAAUGAUUUGACAUCACAUUUUCUCAUAUGUUAAAUUUGACAUAGGAAAACUCAUAUGUCAAUCCACAUAAGAUUGAUAUAUAGGUUGGAGCUUACUUUUACUUCAAGUUUGAUUACAUGAUAUUUCACUUAAGAUUUGACAUCUCAUUUGGAGAUAGUCUUAGACUGAGAUUAUGAGGACAUGAUUUGAGUUGGAAAAAGUGCUGAUGACUGGAUUGCAUUUUUAGAAAGUGAUUUUGUAAUCAUCACUAUCCCUCAGGUAUCGUUUGGUAUGCAGACAGGACGGAACGGAAUAGGACUAGACGGGACAGGACGGGAUGGAACAAAGAGGGAGCAAAGAUGUCAUUGGAUGGAAACAAUGAGGAAGAAGAAGGAGACAGAGAGGUUAUAAUUUUGUGUUCCACAGAUGUGGGACGAGUUGUUCCAUGGGAUGAGGCGGAACGAAAAUUCACCCAAAAUUCGUCCCGUGGAACAACGCGUUCCACCCGUUUUAGGCGCACCAAACGUGGGACGGAACGCUUCGUUCCACUCCGUUCCGUCCUGUCCUACGUACCAAACGGUACCUCACUUAAUGUUGCAGAAGUAUAUUUGGUACCAAAAAAUCAAUUAUUUUGGGUCAUAAGAUCAUAAGUGACAUGUUUUGUUUGACUAUUUGCACCACUUCUUAUAAACUUGAAAUACCCCUUUAAGCAUAUUCCAAAAUACUGAUUGAAGUUUUAAAAAAGUCUACCACCCUUGGAUUUCCAAAUGAUUUUUAUCAAUAUGUUUGGUAGUUGCACUUAUCUUUUCCUGUUCAAGUAGACAUAUUUUGAUACGAAUAUUGUUAGAGACGCUCUUACUAAUUAUGAUGAUCAUAUACCAAAUAACUCAAUAUAGAUCAUGAAAGUUCUUACUGAAGUACAGUCUAAUUUUUGUUAGUUGUGAAACUAAUCAAAAUCAAAUUACUUUUCUGACAUAUUUUUUUACAAAUUCGUGUCUAAUACAAAUUCGUGUUUACAAGCCGUACAUCUAUUAGAAAAAUUAUAUACAAAUAUAUGAUAAAUGUAACACUAUUAUUUUUAUAAUAUUUUUUUAAAAUUUUGAAGAACGAAAAUAAAAGAAAAGAAAAGAAACUGUUUUUAACUGCAGGUCUAAGGCAGAGCCCUGUUGCCGCUUAGCAAUAAAAAAGACUGCUGAGAAGGUCAGUCAUCGUCUUCAGCCUUCACCAAAUUGAGUUAGAAGAAUUAGGGUUUUAGAGCUGCAAAGAUCCAAACUUUAUCAGUCUCUCCGAAAGUAAUUAGAGAAAUGGAAACCCAAUCGAAGGACGGAGGACUCUCUGGAGAAGCGGCCCGGCAUCUUCUUCCCUCGGCUCCCCCAGCGUCGGCUAACGCUCUCUCAUUUCCCGUAAGCUCUCUCUCUCUCUCUUUCUCUCUCCUUUGACUGAUACUAAAUUCAUGACCUAUUGAUUUGUAGGAUUACUAGGUUUGGAUUUAGACGAUGCUUCUGAUUCUUCAUCGUCAUCUCAGCUGGUAGUUGAUGGGUAUAUAAAAUUUUGAAUUUUGGGAUCAAAGAAUUCAACUCUUAGGAAUUUUGGGAACAAACAAUUCGUUUUGAAUUCUUUUGAAAUGUGAAUUUUGAUGAUUUUUGUGGUGAAAAAAAAAGAAAGAUGGAAUAUCUCUACAAAGUACUACACAGCUGGUGUUUCAGUAUGGAUGGCUCAUCACCAUGACGAAUUUUUGAUAGUCCCUCCCAACGUAUGAGCAGUUGGCUGCCUUAAUAUUGGUUUUCAACACAACUGAGUUUCGGUCUCUUGCCACUCACUCUUUGUCCCUUUGUUUACUUGUUUAGCAUGAUUUUCAAUGUGUCUUAUAUCAAUUUGCUCGCGUUAUGCUGCAGUUGUCGUCUCUGUCUGCGCUUCAGAAAUGGGUAUCUCAAACUGAUCUUCAAAAGUUCGAUAGACUAGUGUGCAUAGGGAAUAAGGUUGAUCUUGUUCCGGGUCACCCAGUUCAUACCGAAUAUAGAAGACGACUGCAGAAGCUUGGAGACCCAUUUGCUGAUGACGGUCCAGGGUUCACUGCGUAUGGAAUCUCCGAGACUGAAGGAAGCAGUUUAUUGGGGGAUGAUGAGCCAUAUUGGGAGGCUAGGCACACAUGUUUGGAAUGGUGCAAUGAGCAUAACAUUGAGUUUGUUGAAGCUUGUGCUUCAAAUGCUGAUUUUGACAAAUGUAAGGUAGCCCUUCUUUCUGACUUCUUGUUUAUGGCAAGUUUUAUACGAAGGUGAAAAAUAAAAAGUACCCUGUUCGAAGGUAGAAACGUCGUGCAAUUAGGAUGAUUGAAGAUAGUUCGUCACUCAGGAUUUGAUGAAUUUUUACCCAUUGGGACAUUUGAAGGUGUAGGAAACUUUAUUUCAGGGUCUAUUUCACAAGGUAAAGGAUGACCACAAUCAACAAUUUUUAAGGACAUGCCUUUGUAUCAUGAGUCCUUGUACGCUGGAGAAGUCUAGGGAGAAGUAGGACCUUCACGUCGUGUAUGCCUGAAUAGGACAUGGCAGACUAUUACCUAAGUUCAUGUGUCGGCUUCAAUAUUAGAAAGAGUUGGUUAGCCUGAGAAAAUGAAUAAAAGUGAUAUCGUGAUAAAUCAGCACGUCGAUCGUACGGCACACAAAUUUCCUGCUUUGUUGGAUAUCUUUUAAGUUUAAGGUACUGUUUUACAGGUUUGUCAGUUGAUGGCGACUCGCAAGGUAUUGAAUGACUUUUUGGUGCUCUUUCCGCACAUAUGUGGCCUGGAAUGAUUCUGAAAUCAGGCGAUAAGAUUGCUGAACCGUCAUUACCUGAAAGAGGAGUAGGUUUUAUACUAUGCCGCUUAUAUUUGGUUUAUAAUAUAUAUUUUACUAUUAAGUAGGAUUCUAAAUGUCUGAAUCUUGAAUCCUUUGUGCUAGACUUGUCAGAUAAAGAAUCUGAUUAUGAAUUUGAGUAUGAAGUCCUCUCUGCAGGUUCAGCUGAUCCAUUUGAUGACACGGAAGAAUGGGUUUCUGCAAAUGGUUUUGCUGGACCUUCAGAUAUGCGAGGACUGGCUGCUCAAAGUAAUCUUGUCCUAGAAUGCAAACAAGAGAAUGGACCCAGUUCUAAUAAGGAGGUUCCCCAUGCCUCGAACUUGACAGCCGCGUUGGAUGAUAGUAUUAGCAAAGGAGUAUCCAGUGCAGAAGAACCUGAACAGGACACAGACCAUGACCAAGCCCCAGAACCGGAUGAGGGUACGAAUUUUGAAUUUGAAGAUUUGGAACAGUUGAUGUCUGAGAUUGGGAACAUGCGCGACAGUUCAAGAUUGCUGCCGGAUUGUCAGAGAAGAGAUAUGGCUGCAAAGCUGGCCAUGAAAAUGGCUACCAUGUUUGGGGGUGGCAGUGAUGGUGAAGUGGAAAGUAUCGGCGAGUAAAGGCCAUGAGUAUCUAAGAGAGAUGUGAGUGUUAUGAGAGUUAUGAAAUAUUCUGUUUCAUUGAAUUUAUGAGGCUUUACAACUGUGUAUAUAUAUAUAUCUGCUAAUCAUAAUUAGCACCUAAUCAAGUAUAACUAAUUACACUAAGAUAACUAUUAGUUACACUAAGCAUAACAGAAACUGUUAUGAUGUCCUGGAAUAUGUGUCAAUACACCCCCUCAAGCAGACAGGAGGUAAUCCGAGGGAAAGCUUGGACUGCAAAGCACUGAACCGAGCUUUAGAAAGAGCCUUUGUAUGAAUAUCGGCAAUUUGAUGUUGAGUAGGCACAUACUUGACAUGAAGAAGAUGGGAUAGGACCAACUCCCGAAUAUAGUGAUAAUCUAUUUCAACAUGUUUGGUGCGAGCAUGAAAAACUGGAUUCGAUGAGAGAGAGAUGGCAGAAACAUUGUCACACCAAACAACAGGAACUUUGGAUAAAGGAAAACCAAUGUCUCUGAAAAUCUUACAAAUCCAUGUAAUUUCUGCUGCAGUAUGUGCUAGAGAACGAUAUUCAGCUUCUGUGGAAGAGCGAGCAACUGUGCUUUGCUUCUUUGCACUCCAACUGAUAAGAUUGCUGCCCAAAUACACAGUAGCCACUGGUUGAACGCCGGUCAUAAACACAGCCAGCCCAGUCAGCAUCAGAGAAAGCAGUGAGAUGUAGAGCACUCUUUCGAAACCAUAAUCCUUGAGUCACAGAACCCUUAAGAAAUCUGAGGAUCCUUUUGACAGCUUGAUAAUGCAGAUCUCGUGGACAAUGAAGGAAUUGGCAGACUUGAUUAACUGCAAAGGAUAAGUCGGGCCGUGUCCAGGUCAAAUACUGAAGAGCACCAACAAUAGACCUGUAUUCAUGAGGAUCAGAUAAAGGGGAGCCAACAUGAUCUAAUUUCUGACUGCCAAGUGGUGUUGAGCACGGUUUGCAGCCUUCCAUCUUUGCUUUGAGUAAUAAAUCAAGCGCAUAUUUCCCUUGAGAAAGAAAAAUACCCUCUGAAGAUCUGUGGACUUCCAGGCCUAAGAAGUAAUGAAGAGGACCUAAGUCCUUAACUGGAAACAGUGCACCAAGUUGAGUGAUAAUAUCCUUGCAGACUGAAGGAUUGGGACCCGUGACCAAUAUAUCAUCCACAUAAACCAAAAUUAUCACCAAGGCAGGAGAGAAGGUAACAAAGAGGGAACAAUCAGAUUGUGAGUUAGAGAAGCCAAGGGAUAACAGUGCAUGAAACAGUUUGUCAUACCAAGCUCUAGGAGCUUGCUUAAGCCCAUAGAGUGAUUUGUUUAACUUGCAAACAUACGUAGACUUAGAAGAGUCAAUAAAGCCUGGAGGUUGCUGCAUGAAUACUUCUUCUUUGAGGGAACCAUGAAGAAAAGCAUUGCUAAUGUCCAGUUGAUUCAAGAACCAGUCAAACUGAACAGCCAAUGUGAGCAAGAUCCGAAUGGUCACUGGCUUUGCAACAGGGCUAAAUGUGUCCGUAAAAUCCACACCUUCUUGUUGAUGGAAGCCUUUGGCCACUAAUCGAGCCUUGUAUCUGUCCACAGAGCCAUCAGGAUUCCUCUUUAUUCUAAAAACCCAUUUACAACCAAUUAAAUUCUGAUGGGGAGAAGAGGGAACAAGAGUCCAUGUACCAGUAGAUUGGAGAGCUUGAAAUUCCUCUAACAUAGCUUGUUUCCAAGGAGCAUGCUUAGAGGCUUGGGAAUAUGUAGUAGGAACAAAUUGAGCAAGGUCAACAGGAUGUUUGGUUGCUGUUAAAGCCUUUGGUUUAAAUAUGCCAGCUUUGGAUCUAGUUAUCAUUGGGUGAUUAUUGUGGGGAGGUGAAGGGGGUAAUGAUGGAGAAAUCAAAGGAGAGGCAAGAGGUAAAGAAGAGGAUAUAUGAGAAGGUACAGUGGGUGGAGAAACUGAGGAAGAGGCAAGUGGUGAAGAAGAGGAUAUAUGAGAAGGUGCAGGAGGGGCAGUACUAGAUGAAGUAAUGGGAAAGGGUAAAAGAAAGGUUGAAUCUGGAACAGGAAAGGAGGAUUGGGUAGAGGAUGGAAGAGGCUUGUGCUGAAAUGGAAAAUUACUCUCAUUAAACAAGACAUGUCUGGAAAUAUAGACCCGAGAUGUGUGCAUAUCUAAACACCUAUACCCCUUAUGCUGCAGGCUAUAGCCAAGAAAGGCACAUGGUGUACUUUUGCCAUCAAGCUUAGAAGAAACAUAAGGUUUAAGCCAAGGAUAGCAACUGCAUCCAAAAACCUUUAACCGUGAGUAAUCUGGUGGUUUGUGAAAAAGAAGCUCCCAUGGUGAUUUAUCCAAACCAGAAAUUGGCAAUCUGUUAACUAGAUAAACUGUAGUGGAGAAAGCUUCAACCCAAAAUUUGUGAGGAACUUUAGAAGCAGCAAGCAUUGUUCGAGUGGUCUCAGUUAAAUGCCGAUGUUUCCUCUCAACACACCCAUUUUGCUCUGGGGUGUGAGGACAGCUGAACUGAUGCAAAAUACCAUGUUGGAGAAGAAAAGAACGAAACUGAGAACUUGUAAACUCACCCCCUGAAUCAGACCGUAAAGUCUUGAUUUUGUUUCCAGUCAAGGUCUCAACAUAAGAUUUAAAAUGCACAAAUAUGGAGAAGACCUCAGAUUUGAACUUCAAAGGAAAUAGCCAACUGUAUUUGGUAAACUCAUCAACAAACAGUACAUAGAAUUUAUAUCCACUGACAGAGGAGAUAGGAGCAGGGCCCCAAACAUCACAAUGAACAAGUUCUAAACUGUGAGUAGUACUGCUAGUGCUUACAGAAAAUGGCAACUUAUGAUUUUUACCAAUUGCACAAUCUUGACAAAAGAAAGAUACAGAUGGUUUGCCAGUGUAAGCAAGCUUAUUUCUACUUAAGAUCUUCCGGAAGAUUGCAGAAGAGGGAUGUCCAAGCCGCUUAUGCCAAAGUUGUAAGGAAGCUGGAGUACUAAUAUUAGCAUAGGAUGAGGUAGAAACUGGAGCACAAACAGAAGCAGGUGAAGUACCUUGCACAGGAUAAAAGCCAGAGCUAACUGGCCCCUGAAAAAGCAUCCUCCCCGUAGAACGGUCCUUGAUUGUAGAACCAUCAGAAUCAAGGAUUAAUUGACAGUAAUUAUCCUUUAAAAAUUGAUAUGCAGAGAGGAGAUUAAACUUCAUAUGAGGAACAUGGAGAACAUUGUUCAACUUAAAUGCGGCAGAUGGAGUGUUAAGAACAGAAGUACCAGUGUGGUGAAUGGGCAUACCUUGACCAUCACCAAUAUAGACUUUGUCGUCACCAUGAUAAGGCAUAGGAGAAUGAAUAGCAGAGAUAUCAUUCGUGAUAUGCGAGGUAGCUCCAGAAUCCAAAAUCCAGGUAGGAGAGGUAGAUUUAGCAGUGGUGUGAGCACACAUUGCUGCCAAUUUUGCAGGUGGAAUUUUUCCAGCAAAGGCAUGAUUCAUGCGUUCAAAGCAGUCAAUUGCUUCAUGAUCAUGAGAGUGACAGAUUUGACAGGGAACUCGGCUACCAGAGUACUGUCGAUUGGAGCCUCCUGAAGAGCGACUUGGAGUGUAGGAGUUGCCUCGGAAAUUAUUAGUCCCACGAUAAUUGGUAAAACUGCGAUUGUUGCCACGAUUAUUGCCACGAGUGUGACCACGAUGGCUGCCUCGAUAAUUCUUAGAAGAAUUAUAGUUGGAGUAUGGAGCAACAAAUGCUUGAGGAAAGGCAUUAAAUUGAGGCGUUGGAAGAAGUGGAGCCUGAGAACGCUGAGACUGAGCAGCGUAGGCAUGAAAUGGUUCUGUAACAGAAGGAACAAUAGACUUCUUCUUUCGAUCCAUAAAGAGUUCUUUGUUGAUCAAUAAGCCAUGAAGUUCAUCAAGAGAGGUGGAGGAAAUUCGCAACAUUAUAGAGUCAAUGAAGGAUUCGUACUCAUCAGAGAGGCCAUUGAGCGUAACAGCAAUAAGAUCAGGAUCAGAAAUUGGCGCUCCAGCCGCCAUUAAAGCAUCUGAAAUUCCUUUGAUUUGUUGAAUGUAGGCAGAGAUUGAAAGAUCACCUUUCUGAACAGAGUGAAGGCGAGUGCGGAGUUGGUGAAUGUGCACAGCGGAGACACCACCAAAGCGUUGUUCAAGAUUGAUCCACAGUUCGCGAGAUGAAGAUACACCGACAGUAAAAGGGAUGAUUUCUUCAGAUAAAGUGGAAUUUAACCAAAUGAGGAUGUUUUGAUCCUUUUCAUACCAAGCUUCAAAGGCUGGAUUCGGAGCACCGGUGCUGUGGCCAGAACUAUCAAGAAGAAACGGCGGUGGACAUACUUCAGUACCGUCAAGAAUGCCAGUGAGCUUGUAACGGCGAAAGAUUGGAGCAAAGAGCGCCUUCCAGAUGAGAUAAUUGUCUCGUUUGAGCUUCGUGGGAACCAUACAACUAAUGUUUUGGAUUGUGAUUGAAGAAAUAGAUGAAAUUGGGAAAUUAGGGUUAGGGUUCAUCGAAGAGGAAUUUGGGGCAAGAAUGUCUGGAUUCGCUGGAGAAGACGUCGAAGAUGCCAUCGGAGAGACAGAGAAACAGAGAUGAAAGAUCGAAAAGGGGAAGAAUCGAUCAAGAGCUGAAGAAAACCACAGAGAUCACGAAGAGGUGGAGAGGAUCUUGAAGAUCGAUGAAAAUCGCGAAGAGGUGGAGAGGAUCGCGAAGAGGCGGUUAAGCAAAGGCUCUGAUACCAUAUGAGAGUUAUGAAAUAUUCUGUUUCAUUGAAUUUAUGAGGCUUUACAACUGUGUAUAUAUAUAUAUCUGCUAAUCAUAAUUAGCACCUAAUCAAGUAUAACUAAUUACACUAAGAUAACUAUUAGUUACACUAAGCAUAACAGAAACUGUUAUGAUGUCCUGGAAUAUGUGUCAAUAAGUGUUACACAUCCCUGAAUUUCCUUCUUGGACUUUUUUCCACAAGGUGGCAAGGAAAGGAGAAUCGGCAGUCUUCUUCUUCUCUUUUACUGUAUAAGUAGGUUCAGAAUAGUCGAUACCAAUUAACCGUGCCCGAACCGAGUUUGUAAGAAAAUUGUGCUUUUAAUGAAACCAUGGAAAUGUUGGGAUUGCAUUCGAAAAUCGAAGGGAAGAAUCGAUUCCUGUAUGAGCGCAAUUAGUGAUGAUGUUUCAAAACUUUGAUAUGAAAACCAAUGUACAAAUUACAAAUUUCCUCCAAUGAUGGAUGCAAAUCAAUCUUAGUUGAUGAGUCAAUUUUAUACUAUAUAUUACUCCCUAUUCUUGGUAUAUUUUGGUUAUUAUUUUGGUGAGAUUUUGAUGCUUUGUUAUGUGUUUUUAAUGUAGGACAUGCGAACUUGUUAUGAGCAUAAAGUAAUCAAACAGUGGAAUUUUUGAGUGAUUCCAAUUGGAGCGGGUUCGUGAAUCUGUCAAGAAGGCUAUAUCAAAAUUUCAUAAUUUUAUCCUGAAGCAUUUGAUCGUGACGAAUUAAUUUAUGUCCAACGCGCAGUGCUGGCAGAUGGGGCUGCAGAGCUUAUUUGCGACUUCUGGGUUGGAAGAUGAUAGAUUUUGGACUUGGACUUUUCUUGGAACUUGAAGAUGAGGUCCUUUAAUUCAAGUCGAUUUGGGCUUGUUUUGGAGCCCUGAAGGUCCAAAAACGUGGUUAUCUCUUUGCUGGGCAGAUUUCAUAGUCAGAAUAGGAAUGUAAUUCCUAGUUAUCGUUUUAUUAUUUUAUUUCCUAGUUUUUAGAAACCUUUUCUAUGAGGGUUUAAAUUGGGAGUAGUAUAAAUAAGGAUUUUUUAGCCAUUAGGGUUCUGGGGGGAGAACGUACGCAUUAUUUUGGAGAACUUCAAACUUUUUACCUACAAGGUGUUUUCAUUCUUUUUUCUAGUUAAUAUAUUUUCUUUAGUUUUUAUUAUGAUUGUUCGUAACUAGCUCUUUUGCUAGGGUGAAGCCACAAGCCUUAGCAUGAAUAUGUGAUUUUAUUAAUUUCCCUAUGAAUAGAUACAUGCUUGCUUUGAAUUAUUAAUCACGGCGAUUAAACUAUCUAAUUGUUUUAGUGAUUCGUGAUCAUUAGGGUAUUUAGACAAGCAAUUUGAUGCAAUUUCUGUUGGAACAUCACUCUGAAAUUGAGGAGGGCUUCUUGUGAUUAGUAAUUGUAAGUUCACUUAAGGUGAACAUCACGCUCUUAAGGGUUGCAUGGUUUUUCGAAGGGUUUUCACAAAGUUUAAUGAGUCUUACAUGUUUAUAUUUGAUCUGGACAUCACAGACGGAUUGCAUGUUAGAUAUAUGUUUUCGCUUGAACAUCACAAGGAAAAUAUGUAUUAGGAAAACCUAACCUUCAAAGCAUGUAUGUAGAAAUUCAUAAGUAAUGGGUAAAAUUACAUAGGAUUGUUAAUGGUGACUGCAGAAUUUGUUCUAAAUAAUUAACUAAGAAUUAGUUUAAAUACAAAUUAUUCAUUCAAUCGCUGCGGAAAACGACCUUGCUUGAGCUGCUAUACUACGAUAAUUUUGUACUCUUGCAAGUAUUUUUAAGUGUUUUUAUCCCUACUUUUGUAGGUGAUAAAAAUCCUAUCAAGAAAUUGGUGUUGUUGCCGACGAUCGUUUCAAAUAAUUUGUGUUUAUCAUAUUCUUAGUUAAUUAUUUUUGUAAAUAUCUUUUUACUUGUUGAUUUUAUUUUUAUUUUUAUAGGUUAUGUUUUGUUGGUUUUGAGAACAGUUAAACGAUGGGCUAGAAUCUACAACCAACAGGAGGGUUGCCUUCAUGGAAUUAUAUCAAUAUGAGGAACUCUCAAAGGCCUAGGUGCGAUCCAUACUCAAAACUUUACAAUAUAAGAGCCCCUUGAACAGCCAACCGUGCCACAAAGAUCUACUCUAGAUGACAAACUUGCUGAAUUGGCAGAGUGUGUCAAGCAAUUUGUUGAUAGCAUGCCGAAUACCAAACCAUCAGCAAAGAUAAUUGAAGAGCAAGAUGGGCAGCUUUCGUAUCAAUUCAUAGAAAAUGAGAACGAUUCAUAUUCAAACUUUUACAAUCGGUGGACAGAGCAUCCUACUUCUAUGUGGGUAAGCAAUCAACAGGCUUUUCAGCAGCCCUGUGUGCCACAAAAACUUUCUUUGGAGGACCAGAUUGCUAAGUUGGAGGAGUCCACUAGGUUGUUCAUGGAGGGUACCCCUAAGUUGCAGAAAAUAAAUUCAAUCGACAAUCUGGCACAGCAAAUCGAGUAGCUCACGUAUCAAUUGGAAGAACAAGAAAACGAUUCCAAUUCAAAUUUCCCUAAUCAACCAAUUGCAAACCUACAGGGUUCAAAUGAGUGCUCUGCAGAUCAAACAUUGAGAUGGGGGGGGGGGGGAACCAACGAUACUACAAUGGAAGAAUCUGAAAUUGAAGGCCCAAUGGGAGAAACAGCGCCUACUGACCUUGAACCUGUUAUGACCCAAAGGCAGCAGCAGACCAUGACGGAUCAACAAAAUCAAAAUUCUAUGCGGACACAUGCAAAAGUGCACAUUAAUCUGCCGCUAAGGGAUGCGACUGAAAAAGCUCCAAAGCAAUCACUAAAUUUCAAUUUAUUUGAGGCUCCAAGGCAACCCGCUAAGCAGCAGGAAUACAUGAAUACUCAAACAGAUUUGCAUACAAGGCAGAAGGGUGGUGAUGAGAAAUUUUUAAAUGCUGUACUGGACAGUACACCAGCAUAGCCGAUCAUAUUUAGAGAAAUUUGGGGAAAGUCCUACAAGCAAGCUAAGAUCUGCAUGGGAAAUAAGAAAAAGCUUAAUGGCAGCCGCAUUCUUCGUCAACAAAUUCUACUAGUGCAGAGGUUGUGGGUGUUAAAUACAAGGUUCAAGUCAACCAAGUAUUGAACUUUGAGUGUGUGGAUUAAUCUGUUCACAUGUGUUCAAUAUGAUUUGGUUGAUGAUAAUAAGUCCAUCAAAUGUUCCAAGAAAUGUCGUAGUGAAUAAACUAAAUUUUCUUUUUUAGUGGUUCUCGUUCUAUUUCUAUCUAGGAAACUUGGACCUUCAACGCUAGGACCUCCAAUGUUUAUUCUACAAAGUAUUGCUUGUGAGUGCUCUGGAUUGCAAAUUAUGAUUCCAGGCAAUGAAGUUUCAAGGCGGUUUGGCUGUAUCCAGAAAGAUCGAACGACAUUUGAACUUCCUCUAGAUAACGAAGGAUGAGAGAGAGGUAAAUCAUGUGGGAGGCAGAUUCUCUGCCCUCUCACUUCCCAUGCCCCCUAUUUGUGUGGUCACGGUUAAACCCUGUUAAUAUUUUAUAUUAUUUUUUUUAUAAGGAUGAUAAGCCAAAAACGAAUAGUAAUAUAAAAUGUUGAUGUGACUUAACCGUGACCACACAAACAGGAGGACACGGAAAGUGAGAGGACAGAAAAUCUACCUCCAAUCAUGUGUUGCUCAUUUAUUCAGCUUAGCUAACAAUUAAUUAAUUAAGUCCGUCGAAAAAAAAUACAAAACAAAGAUGUGGCCUUCGAAAGUGGGUAACUGGGUCGGAAUUAUUAUUUCAUUCCUGGUGAAGAAAGGCCACAGGUGAUUACAAUAUCAACAAAUAAUUGAAUACAGACAAACUAUAGUGAUCAAUCGAACUUGUUGGUUUAUAUGGAAGGCGAGAUGCAAGUUUCUGUUCAAUCAACAACCUAUAGUUCCUCGACAGAUCAUCGCAGUCAUCACCCAAUCUGUGGCUGCUUUUAAGGAAUAUACUCAGGCUACGGUAUGUAGUUUGCCUAUUUCUGUCAAUGGUUUGGUUUCUGAUAUGCAGUGGUCUCCUCCUUGUGUGGGUUUUAUAAAAAUUAAUGUGGAUGCGAGCUGGUUAAGGAGUGGAGCUUCUGUUUUGUGGGGGUGGUGGCUCGGGACGAUGAGGGCAGGUUUAUGGCAGCGAUCAGGAGGAGGGUCACGGCCUCGUCUGUGGCUGUGGCAGAAGCCUUGGCAGUGCUGCAUGGGUGUGAGCUUGGAAGAAGUAUGGGAUGGAAUUUUGUCAUCGUGGAAUCAGAUUCUCAGGAAUCAAUAUCCUGUAUUCGAGACUCGGAUACGAGGGGUAGUUGGGAAGCUUUUCCAAUUCUGGCGCGAUGCAAAAGAAUGGGGGAGGCUUUUAUUGACUGCCGCUGGUCUUGGACUCCAAGAUCGGCAAAUAUGGCUGCGGAUCGUCUGGCGUUGCGGCAAAGUAGGGAGGUAUGUGAUAAUGUUUGGGUCAACAGACCCCCAUCCUCUCUUGUUCAUGUUCUGUGUAAUGAUGGUCUUCCUUGUCCCCAUUAAUUUCUUCCUAGCAGUAUGAGGAGUGACAUUUUUAGCAUUUGGUGCGAUGUCGGUUGUACCUCUUUGUACUGCUUCUCCUUAGUUGUUUGUUGCUUGCUUUUGCCUCGGGGUAGGCUUCUGUGUAUCUUUGGCAUCUUUGCCCGGUUGUUAUUGAUUCCUGUUCGCCAAAAAAAAAAAAAAAAAGAAACUCCAUAAUGGAAAAAGACACAAUCUUCCUUAAAUUAAAGACCCCCACUUGGUAUGGCCACUUUAUAUGUAAUAUUUUUAUAUUUUUCAGUUGUCUGUGAUUAUUUUAAAAUAUUAUAAUGGUGGAUUGUUACAUCAAAGGUAGUCGGUAGGAGUUUGCAACAAAACUUCCUCUUCUUUAAAUUAAAGACAGUCAAGUAACAAUUUUAAAAUUUUUAAUCGUCAAUGAAAUUGCCACGAAAUUUCAUCUCUUUCAACUUGAUCACAUUCACAUUGAAGGUGGUAGGAAACUGCUGCUUCCUUCACAUGAAGAAAAGCAUGCAUAAGGCCUGAUAUAUAUAACAAGAGAGAGUCCAUUGUCCACACUCCAUACCAUACUGCAUAUUCCAAUUCUUUGAGAGGCUCUUUUCUUUAGUUUACUUGUCUUUAAUUCUCUUAUGGCCAUUCAACUUGCCUCUUCUUCUUCCUUGCCUCCUUCAUGGACAUAUGAUGUAUUUUUGAGUUUUAGAGGUGAGGAUACACGCUUUACUUUUACAGAUCAUUUAUACAAGGCCUUGCACAGUAACGGAAUCGACACCUUCAUUGAUCGCCAUCUUAUAAGAGGAGAAGAAAUAUCACCAGCUUUUCUAAAAGCAAUUGAAGAGUCAAAAAUUUCAAUCAUUGUAAUCUCUGAAAACUAUGUAUCGU